rnacentral:lncRNA from 1 species
UCUUCAGAUUCUCCCUUCUCCUCCUCCUCCCUCUCUUCCUCUCUCCGGCUUUCGCUUCCGACUCAGAUCACAGGGUAAGCUUUUCCGAUUCCAUCGCUCGAUCCAUUUUCCCCUCAUUUCCUAUUAGAUCUACCUUUCAAUUUCGCUUUCGUUUUUUCAAUUUCGUUUCAAUUUUACCGAUAUUCUGUUAGAUCUCAGCUGCUUCCUCACUCCUCUCCGUUAUGCAUCUCUAAUAAUAAUUCACAUUUUCGUUUUCGAUGUUAUUGGAUUGCGAUUUCAGCUCUUCGCUGUUCUCUUAUUAACUCAUGAAUCAUGAUAUGCGCUCUGUUUGGAAUUCAAAGUAUUUAGGAUUCUUUUCGCUUCAUUGGACUCCGCAUUAAGUGAAUGUCAGAAACCCGUGCUGUUGAUGUUAGGGAUGCUUUGGUUUAGUUUUCAUACAUAAUCCGAACGUGCAAGCUUUAUAAUUGUUGCUUAUUCUCUGUUGUCAAUUAGUAUUGCAAAUGGUGAUUUCUUUUUGUCUGUCUACACUUGAAAAUUGCAACACCGGUGGUUUUGUAGUUUUCUCAUGUGUUUGUUUGGUUUUACUCCGCGUCAUCCAAUGUCACGCUGAAAUAUCAACUAAGUUGACUUGUGGUAUAUGUUCGCGUGUUUGAUUUUGCAUUGGAGAAUGAUCCGGGUUCGGAAUUGAUUUUAAGUUGAAACAAAUUUAUGUAGCUUUUUCCUUCGGAUCUUACUGGUGAUUUUCUUUUAGAAUAAAAUAUCCAAACCCAAAUCACUCCACUUCAAAAUCAAAUCGAAGUAAAUUCUAAUAUGCAGAAUCAAUUUCAUUUAGAAUAAUUUGCAAAUGCUCACCCAAACACCAAGAGAGUAUUUUGUUCUGUCUAUUAGCAAUUUCUUUUAGUAUUUUACGGCUGAAAUGAUGGACAUACCUAUCCAAUGGGAAUGUCCGGUUGAAAACUGUUUAGUGCAUUGGAGCUUCUGCCUCUCCGGACGUUAGGAGCUCGGGUAUUGGAGUCUUCCCUAUGGCAGAAGCUUGUCAAUGGUGGAUCGGAUUUUGACCCGAAGUAUUUUUGGUUUGUCAUAUUUGAGCUUUGUAUUGAACUCAUAAUAGAUCAAUCAAUGGUUACUACAUAGAUUUUCUUCUAAAUGUCUUUAAGCAUUUGAAUCAUUGUAUCACUGAAUCCGUCCUCAUUUCCUUAAGCUAGGAGUAAAGAUAAGAUAUGGUUCUCUUAUUUUUUUUAAACUUCCAGCCAUCAAUGGCUAUCUGUUUUAAACAUAUAUGGCAUUUUAUUGCAGUAUCAACCGGAGGAGAAAGUUAUGCUUUGGGUGAACAAAGUUGGUCCUUACAACAAUCCACAAGAAACGUACAAUUAUUACAGUCUACCCUUUUGCCGUCCACCUGGUCAUCCUGCACACAAAUGGGGUGGUCUUGGUGAGGUCCUGGGUGGCAAUGAACUCAUUGAUAGCCAACUUGAGAUAAAGUUCCUAGGUAUGGAGGCUUCUUUCAUCCUAUUUAUUUCGUAAGACCUAUCAGUAGACAAACUGUCUCUAACAGUUUUUUUUUUUUCAAAUUACAAGGAAAUGUGGAAAAGACCACCUUUUGUCGUCUGCAGCUUAACGAAGCAAACGUUAAACAGUUCAAGGAUGCAAUAGAGAAUAAUUACUGGUUUGAAUUCUUCAUGGGUAUGUUGCCAUGUUUCUUUCUUUCACAUAUUACUAUAUAAUUGUUAGAAUGAAUGUACUUCUAUAUAUAGUCAAGAAAUUCUAAACACUAGCAACAAUUUUUUUGUAUUUGUCCAUUGCAUAAGCUAAAGCGGCUGGGUUAAAUAAUAUCUGGCACAAUAUACCCCUUCUCAACUUUUGUAACUGGUAAGGUACAGCCUUCAAACCAAUUUCAGGGAAAUUGCCACUUGAAGUUGCCAACAAUAGAUUUAGUUGUUAAAAGUUAAAACCAUACAGUCAACAUUGAGUUUGACAGUCUGAGAAGCCUAGCUCCAUGGUGGCAGGGAAGGGAAGCUUUCAGCUGGUGGUUUAGAUUAAGUUAUUGCAUGCAUGCUUUAGUCUCAGCUGAAAAUGAUUUAUCAUGAUUCCUUUAAAAUUGAAGAAUAGAUUUAACUUACAACUUUCUCUGUAACUGUUGUGGUAUUGUGAUGUUAUCAAAAUCCUUUCUCUAAUUCUAAAAGUAACGGGCAUUUAUAUUAAGUAUUUUUUCUUUUACAUUCAUGGAGAAUUAUUCAUGAAUCGUGACUAGUUACAACAUUUCAUUGUGUGGGAAUAUAAAUUAUAAUGUAUAAACAAUGAAGCAUAUAUUUUAUAUAUUAUACAUCGUGACACAUUGACUGAAUUUGGAAUGCUUGACCCUGGAAGAGCAGUGCCCUGCUCUAUUUUGAUCCUUCUAUAACUACAACCACAGUCUUUUAGGCUGGGUGUUAUGUGCAUACUUAUGGAAGCUGAAAGAAGGAUAAAGUUAAGAAUUCUUUUUCUGAAGUUGCUGUUUAAGCAUUCUUGACUGGACUGAUAUUAUAAUCUCCUGAAGUAAAAUCGGGUAAGGGAAUCUUGGUGUGGUACAGCUCCUCCUAUGAUAUUGUGGGGUCUAGGGAUGGUUUUCCCCUGCUCUGUAUAGGUUUAUAGUAGGCAGCUUUAACUUGCACUUGCGAAAGGCUGAUUCCCAUGACUUGAACAUGUAUCAAUGCCUCAACCAUAGCAAGGAGGCCCUUCCUAAAAAACUGUGUUUAAAUUUAUAAACUAAGUAUUUUUCAAUUGAGAAUGUUAGGCAAUUGAUAUUAUAUUGUCUUGAUAGGUUUAAUGGUGAGUGAGGAUUUGUUCCAUGGACUGCCCCAUAUUUGUUUUCGUUUUUUAUUCAUAAUUUUUAAAAUUUUCUGAAUAACUUACUCUUGGCAUUCUUUCUUUCCUUGGUUGUGCUAUUUGUUGGUCGUGGAUGUGCUAAACACAAGCUCAGAUGAUCUUCCAUUGUGGGGUAUGCCUACUUUCUCUCUAUUUAAUUUAUCAUUUCAUUGGUUGAUCAUUGUAUAAGAUUCUUUUAUUCAUGUUUAAGGGUAUGUUGGGGAGCUACAUCCUGAUAAGAACAGUGAUAAUGGCAAGCAUGUACUUUAUGCUCACAAGAACAUCAAUAUUCAAUACAAUAAAGACCAGGUCAGAAGUUAUUUAUGUAUCUUUGCUAUCUUUUGCUGCUUUGGGAUUUAUGGAGUGCAUACUUAGGUUCAUUUACUGCAGAUCAUUCAUGUUAAUCUAACUCAUGACAACCCAAGGCCUCUGGAAGUAGGAAAAACUUUGGACUUGACAUAUUCUGUGAAAUGGACUCCUACGAAUGUCACUUUUGCACGCCGAUUUGAUGUAUACUUGGACUAUCCAUUCUUUGAGCAUCAGGUGAAAAUAAUUGCUGCUAGCUUUGUAUUUAGAUUGCAGAUGUAUUAUUGUUGAUUGCCUGCUAUGUGUUAUGCGUAUCUAUCUUAGCCAUGUCACUGAGAGAACUUUGAUCCUUUUUCUUUCUGUAGAUUCACUGGUUCUCUAUUUUUAAUUCUUUUAUGAUGGUCAUCUUCCUUACUGGAUUGGUGUCAAUGAUAUUAAUGCGAACUUUGAGAAAUGACUAUGCAAAGUAUGCUCGGGAAGAUGAUGAUUUGGAAACUUUGGUAAGGCAUUCUUGAUGUUUGUCUUUUACUACUACUAUUUCUGUUAUUAUUUUUUAAAACAUGCAGAACAUAGAUUUGGCUUUCCUGGAAAAUUCAUUUCGGUUCUGAUUGUUAAUUCUUGUUCAACUCCCAAAUACUUCCAGGAAAGAGAUGUUAGUGAAGAAUCUGGGUGGAAACUCGUGCAUGGUGAUGUUUUUAGGCCUCCUCGCAGUUUGGUCAUUCUUUCAGCUGUUGUUGGUACAGGCGCCCAGCUUGCAUUGCUGGUUUUCCUCGUCAUCUUGUUGGCUAUUAUUGGGAUGUUGUAUGUUGGGUAAGUCCAUUAAACUGACUGUAGUAUUGAUCUGAACAAUGAUUUCGUUCACAAUAGUGUGAUUGGUUAAAAAAUGGAAUUAAAUGCUAUAUCAUAUAUGCAUAUAUUAUUUUCUGCUUAUACAUCUCUCCUGUAUAACUGGACAUUCCUUUAGUUUUCCCCCUGACUAUAAUUUUUGUCCACUUCAUCUCCCUUCAUUAUUAUGUAAGGUUCCUUCAAUGUGCAGACGAGGAGCCAUCGUCACUACCUUCAUUGUAUGCUAUGCUCUCACAUCUUUCAUUUCUGGUUAUGUGAGUGGGGGGAUGUACUCACGAAAUGGGGGUAAGGAUUUGCAGUAAAUUAUGCUACAUGUUCACUUCAUGCUUUUGUUGCCUCUUUCUCUCUCCAUGAACGAUUAUAACUGUGUCAUUUUCAGGUAAAAGUUGGAUUAAGUCCAUGAUCCUUACAGCAUCACUGUUCCCAUUCAUGUGCUUUGGAAUUGGUUUUAUUUUAAACACAGUUGCUAUAUUCUAUGGAUCACUAGCUGCAAUCCCCUUUGGUACUAUGGUUGUUGUCUUUGUUAUAUGGGCCUUUAUCUCUUUCCCUCUAGCACUUCUUGGUACAGUUGUUGGAAGAAACUGGAGUGGUGCUCCAAAUAAUCCAUGUCGUGUGAAGACCAUUCCUCGUCCCAUUCCUGAGAAAAAGUGGUACCUCACACCAUCUGUAGUUUCUCUGAUGGGAGGACUGCUUCCCUUUGGCAGCAUAUUCAUCGAGAUGUAUUUUGUAUUCACUUCCUUCUGGAAUUACAAGGUGAAUUAAAAUGCAAUUACUUGUUUGGGCAGUGAGCAUUUUAUUUUCCCUUCCUUGGUUUGGCAUAAUGUUAUUUCUUUAGAACAAUAUUUCUAUAUGUUGUCUUUCAAGUGGUAACACUUAAUAUUCCUGUGAUAGUUGAGUAAAUACAAGCUUUGUUUCUUACGCGUUUUUCCCCUUCCACUUUGACAAACAGGUGUACUAUGUAUAUGGUUUCAUGCUACUGGUUUUUCUGAUUCUUAUCAUUGUUACUGUUUGUGUGACAAUUGUGGGGACAUACUUUUUGUUAAACGCUGAGAACUACCACUGGCAAUGGACCUCUUUCUUUUCAGCUGCCUCAACAGCUGUUUACGUGUAUUUGUACUCAGUAUACUACUACUUUGUGAAGACGAAGAUGUCAGGCUUCUUCCAAACCAGCUUUUAUUUUGGAUACACUUUGAUGUUUUGUCUUGGACUGGGAAUUCUCUGUGGUAAGUCUCCAGUUUAAUUGUAAUUUAUGUUUGGAUUGUGUGUUCACUCUUUGGAAACUAGAUAGCUUGGUUAUGUUCUGAAUACCUCUUAUUAUAUAGAUAUAAAAGCUAGUGUGUUCUUAUCGCCUGAGCUGGAUUAAAUUUUUUUCUCCAAAUGUGCAGGAGCUGUAGGUUAUCUUGGUUCGAAUUUAUUUGUGAGGAGGAUCUACAGAAACAUCAAGUGUGACUAAGGGUCCUAGAAGUCUGAGACCAGAGCACUUCCACAUGUUUGUUGCUAGACACAAUAAAUUUCUUCGAGGAGGUCUCUGGUCAUGUGUGGGGACCAAGCAGUGUUUACAGGUAGUAAGUAUCACAGGGUUGAGGAUGGGAUGUAUUCUUUCUCUAUAUUAGGGGAUGUAUUCUUUCUCUAUGGUAGGGAAGCCCUGAGAUUUUUUUCCCUGACUGUGAUUGAAAGCCUUGAUUAGUAGAAUGCAGGGAUUGGUCUUUAUAAUUUAGAUAGUUAGCAAAAUAUCAGACUCGUUGCUACUUCUUUUCGUCCUUCUAUAAAUAGGUGCCAUAUUGACGGACUGAUGUCGGAUUCCCCUACACGGUUUAGCUAUUGUACGUAGAGGGGAUGAAGUCACGGAAAUGAAUUUUGUGCUUCUGAAUUUUGUAUCAAAUAUGAAUAUCCUUUCUAACUAUUUCCUGCCUCCACAUUUCUCCUUCUUUGGCUUUUAAAUCAUUGACGUUUUCCCCCUCUCCAAUCCAAUGCUUGUUAGGCUGCAUACAUUUCUGCCUCUAUCACCAUGUUAACCAUGAAUAAAUGAGAUCAACAUUCUGUUCAGCAGCUGCAUACUCGCUUUGUUUUACUAAUUUUCUGUUUCUUUUAGAACUUGUGGUUGUAAAAUGCAGCACAGCAAGGGUAAAAAUAUUCAGUGCGACUGGAGUUUCAAAAUUGAGUAUGAAUGAAAUUGAUUUUGGAUUGAAAUUAUGUGUCUUUAGAUAUUUAAUUUUAAAAAUAAGUUAGUAGUAAAAAAUUAAUAUAUAUAUAUAUAUAUAUUUAUCCAAUGGAAAAGUUAUUUAAAGUUGUUUUCAACUCAAUGUGGUUUCACCUAAUUUAGCGUGAAUUAGAAAAUACUCGAUGGCUUGUGUAUUCAAAUUCAAAUGUGUUAGAUUUCUCUCUCUUUCUAAAUACAAAUUUUAAUAGUUAUAUGGAAAAGAGAAUUUUAAGUUUAAAUCAAUUUUAUAAAAUCUAUCGGUGAGGUUUGCAAUCACUCAUAUACUAUGAAAUGUUCUAAUUUAUAGUUGAGAUGAGAUCUCCGAGAUAUUCUCCUUACGUCGAGAGUUGAGGUUUGCAAUCACUCAUAUACUAUGAAAUGUUCUAAUUUAUAGUUGAGAUGAGAUCUCCGAGAUAUUCUCCUUACGUCGAGAGUGACAACUCGUGGUCCAACAAACUUUUGUUAUAAUAGAUUCAAAAUGAACAAACUUUUGUUAUAAUAGAUUCAAAAUGAUUUUGAUACCAUAUUAAGAAGUAAAUUUUUAAGUAUAAUUCAAUUUUAUAAAAUUAACAUAUGAAGUGAGAUUUACACCCACUUUUUUUUUGUUUUGCACUUUUUAUAUACUAUGAAAUGUUUUAAUAUUUAGGAUGUGAGAUGUCUAAGCAUAAUAGCCAACAUUAGUGGUUAAGUAGCAUUGCAAGCAAUUUUGUGGUCAUUCCUUGGCCCGUAAAAGUGAACAUAAAGCAAAACAUUCAUUGAAAAGAUAGAAAAGUAUAAUUUGUGAGGUGAGGAUAAUGGCAACUACCAUCGUCAACAACGAGUGGUGGUGAUAAAGAUAAGAUAGAUUGAGGCAUGAAACAGAGCCACGUGGCCGAUAGGUAGCAUAUCAGCUAACGUUGGUGCUCGUUGCAGCCACACUAUUUCCACAAGCUCUCUCCUUCUUUCUUUUUAUCAUCAAGAACAAGCACCAUCACAAGUUCCUAAACUAGCCUUCUACUCAUCAACUCAACCAAGGACAUGGCAUCCAUCAUACCCGCUUCCUGUGGCUCUGUGUUGAACACCUCCUUCCUCAGGAAGCAGCCUCUGAACCACACAAGCCUCAAGGCAUUCUCCAACGCCAACGCCGUCUUUGGUGUGAAAGGAGGACGUGGAGGCCGUGUGACAGCCAUGGCGAGCUACAAGGUGAAGCUUGUGACCCCAAGUGGAGAGCAAGAGUUCAGUUGCCCAGAUGAUGCAUACAUUCUUGAUGCUGCAGAGGAAGAAGGCAUUGACCUUCCUUACUCAUGCAGGGCUGGUUCUUGCUCUUCAUGUGCUGGCAAAGUUGUGGGUGGCCAAGUGGACCAGUCUGAUGGUAACUUCCUUGAUGACGACCAAAUUGAGCAAGGCUUUGUUCUCACCUGCGUUGCUUAUCCCACUUCUGAUGUUGUUAUUGUCACUCACAAGGAGGAGGAGCUCGUUGCUUAAAUCUUGUCAUCACUUUCCUUUCCCACUUCUGAUGAUGUAUGCUGCUUUUUCUUUUUAUGUCUUGUGCCAUUUCUCAGGAUAUACACACCCAUUAUUAUUAUUAUGCAGUAAUUGAUUACUUCACCUGUAGCAGCAGCUGAACUUGUUUUUGUCACUAUAAUAAUCUUUUCUUUACAGUUUUUGCACUCCUUUCCUCUUUCCUCGGCUUCAAUAAUUGAUUACCCUUUUAUGCAUUACAUAUAUACUAUCUAAAUUUGUGUGCUUUCUGCAUUGAUUUUCAUCCUUCUGUCACAUUGGAGUUAACAAUGAUGAGGGUAACUUGCAUCUUACCAAGAAAUAUUGAUGUUAGACUCAAAAAAAACCCACACAAGACUAAAAAAAAACACUAAAUGAUAAUUAGAACAAGUUUUUAGUUUCUUUUUAGUAUUUGUGUGAGUUUUUUUUUUUGAGAGGUUAACAUCAAUCAACGACGGUGGCUUCUUGUUCUUAACUUGGUACUGAAGAUGGUGUUAAUGUCCUGAGACUAAUUGUAUGGCCAACUUUUUUUUACUUUUGUAUCACUUAAAAGAGAUAACAUAUUUAAUUGUAUCUACAGUACAAGGUACAUUUUUCAUUCUCAACUACUUUGUGUCGGUGCCAAAACAUUGAUUUAAGAAUGAUUUCUAUAUCUAUGCCAUGAAGAGUAGUAAAACUUCAAAUAUGAAACAUAAAUGGAUGAUGUCUUCUGUAGCACAUACUUAUGCUUCUCUCCUUCGCCAUUGAAGGACAGUUUUGGGGGAGAGUGAUUGUAUUCGUCUGUAAGUCUUGAGUCAAUAUUUAACAAAGAAAUUGAGAUGAAAAUUCUGGCAAUGCUAAAAUAUCUGUUGGGUAUGGAUUCAAACCUUAAUUAGGAGCAUUGCUUCUGUGAGAAUUCUGCUGUGAACAUGGAGAUGUUACAAAAUUUAUGACCACAAAUUGGAGCUUGUCAUUCUAUCCUUCUUAACAUUUCAAAGGGUGUGGUUGACAAUGCUAUGAUUCAAUGUUUCGAUAUGGUUAUGGAUUACUUCCAAGUCAUACUCUGUUUUUUUCUCUUAUUCAGACUGGUGUCUUGACUCUUUGGUUUGUAUGAGAUUGAUUAAUUGAUGAAUUACUAUGUUGAGGUUUGUCAUGUGUUCUAUGAGUUGUUAGUUGGAGGUUUUUUGGUGUCUUGUUUUGAGAAAGGUUAAGGUUUAUUUUUCUUUAUAAAGAUUGAACUAUCCUGAAAUAGAGAUGUUAAUGUUUAUUUUUCUGUAUAAAAGUUGAACCAUUUGAAUAGUUCAUAUUUAUUUUCUUGUCGAUAAAAAAAAAUAGCAGUUAAAUACUAUACCAAAGUUUUACACAUGAAUAUACACCAAUAAAAAAAAUAAACAGUUUUUCAUUGGUCAAUUAACAAAUUAAAUAAUUAUAAAAAACAAAGGACUGCGUAAAAUGAAAUUCAACCAUGCAAUUCUGAGUGGAAGUUUUGACUGAAUAAUUCGAAAAAACUAGCAUUUUUCAAUUUAUAACCACGGUUGCAUCUCAUGUAAUAGUAAUAUUCAUAAGCAAAAGAAAUAGAAGUGCAUAACCUACUCUCUGAGAGGGCCUGGAGAGGGUGCUCUUGGAACAAAGUUUUGUAACUAUUGAAGAGCCAUUGAAAUAUGCUACUGUUCUGACCUCAAGUCAGUUGGACAGCAUCGCUAGGGUCAAUCACCGCAUCCGAGGUAUUGUCCGCUUUGAAGGUUGGUGCUCCGUCACGGUUUUGUCCUUAAAAGAUGUCUCAAAGGGUGAAGGGAGGAGGGAGUAUAUAAACUGCCCUUGACCUCGAUUCCUGAGCGAUGUAAGAUUGUAUUGGCAGCCUCGAUUGUGAAGAAUCUGUGGAGAUAACAUAGGCACACAGAAUGAAACAUGGUACAAAAUGUUUAGAUGUUCUUUUUAAGAGGAGAUCUAGUCACAACAAUGAUGGUAAAUGUUGAGUUCAUUAAAUAUAUAACAGUUUUGCAAAGAAAAGAAGGUAGCAUGUGAAGUGAAGAAGAUGAAGAAUGUUACAAAAAUGUAUGGUGAAGGGAAGAUGAAUAGACUUGGUAGCAUUCAACCUCCACAUCUUAUUGCACUUUCAAUGCAUUCAAUUACUUCCUCUACCAUAAAUCCAAUUUCAGUAUAAAAAGAUGAAAAUGUUUUUAGAUAAAAUGAAGGUAAUUAUAAAAAUACAUUUAAGAUUUACUUUUUUGGACAAAUAUCUGGAAUGAAAUUUUGAUUUUAUUUUCGAAUUUUUAUUUCUAGAACACAAUAACCUCUUCUAGAUCUAUUUUUUAAAAUAUAUUGUUUUCAAUUCUAGAUUUUUAUUUCGAGAAUGAAGGACAUUUUAAAAAAUUUAAAAUUGUGUAGGGUGCAAAUUUAAAAUGAUUGAGUGUAUGAAGAAUUUGUCUUUAUCAUAGUUCCCACUAUGUUAACCAACACAAUUGCUUGCUGAAAAUUUUCCUCACUUCGUUUUCUUUACAUUUCGACCUUAUGCAGCCUCAAACGUUAAUUUCAAAAGAAAAAUGAUAGUUUGACAACUCUUAAAGUUGUAUACAACUCUUGAUGUGAUAGGUUUAGAAAUAAAUAUAUAUAAUAAAGGAUAAAUUUAUAAUUAAAUGAUAUAAAAAAGUAUUAAAAAUAAUAGUAUUGGAAGUUGUAAUGUGGUUGUAUAAAAAUUUGAAGUUGUUAAUGUAUCAUUACCCAUUUCAAGAAUACAACUUAAACUCAAAAUUACAAAUAAUGGCAUUACAUUAUGCACCCCAUAGUUUCCCAUAAUUUGAAGGUGCAACCAUGGGCAAGAUAAAAAGACAAAAGUAUCCCUACUUUGGAUUUAUAAAAUGCAUAUUAUACACUCUACAAUUCGAAAUGCAUUUUCAAAUUUGGAAAUAUAUUUCUGAAUUUUGCAUUGUUGAAUGUAUUUUUAGAUUCAAAAAUAUAUUUUUGAUAAUUCAAAAUGCAUAUUUUAUUUUGUAUUAUGAAAUACAUUAAUACUAAAAAUAAGGGAAGUUUGAAAAUUUAAAAUCUAUGGAGGUGUAUGCUAAAAUUAUGGGUUAGCCUACAAAUAAUGGGCCAUUGGAUCCGGGUUGCUUCUUCCUGCACCUCCAUACCUUCUUCUCUCACCUCCAUAGAUUUUCGUAUUUCCAAAACUGCUCUUCUGUAAUAUUUCGGAUUACAUAAUUCGGAAGUUAUUUUUCAAAUUUGUAAUUAGCUUUCGGAUUAUAUAAUCUGAAAGUCUUUUUUCAGAUGCAUGAUUACUUUCCGGAUUACAUAAUCUGGAAGUUUUUUUUAACUUCUGGAUUAUGUAAUCCAGAAGUCUUUUUUCAAAUGUGUUUCCGGAUUACAUAAUCCAGAAGUUAUUUUAUGGGGGUGGCACAAGAAGGAUAAAAAUGUAUUUUUCAUGUUGUGUAUGGAGGUGCCAGAAGAAGAUAUGGAGGUGCAGGAAGAAACAGUCUUGGAUCCGAGUCAAACUUUUUAUCUAUACUUUAUUAUAAGGGCUUUUUCUUCUUACACUUCUUAAUUAAUAAUUGCAUCUCAUACUAUGACAAAAAGGCCAAAAUACCCUCCAUUGCUCCACCAUGUCGUCGUCGUUGCAGCUCUAUCUACACUUCCAUGACGAGUUUUUAAUAUCUUUUAGAUUAAAAAUAAUAUAUGAUUUAUAUUCAUUACCACUUGCAUUAAUUUAUAUGUAAGAUUAAUGUUAACUUAAAUAAAUAUUAAAAAGAUAUUAUAUUAAUAUUAAUAAUUACGAAAUUUAAAAAUUAGAACGUAUUUAAUAUUAUUAGUGUUGGUUAAGUUAACUUUAAUGUCUUUCUUUAAAAUAUUAUUAUUACUAAAAAAAUAUAUUUAAUAUUAUUAGAGUCGAUCUUAAUAUUUUUUUAACAUAUUUUUCAUUACUAAAAUAUAUUUGAUAUUAUUAUAGUCGGUUAUCUUUAUUUUAGUAUUAAAAUAUAUUUAGUAUUAUUAGUAAAUUGUCUGUGUUUACCAAGUAUUAACAAAAGUAUGAAAUAUAAAAAAAAAAUGCGAUAUAUAAUUAAAAGAAUAUUUACAGGUUUUUAUUGUUAAUUAAAAAUCAAAACCUUCUUAAAUCACUUCCCAACAAGAGAUCUUACAAAGGACUGUUUCUUCCUGCACCUCCAUGCCUUCUUCUCUCACCUCCAUAUAUUUUCAAAUUUCCAAAAAUGCCCUUCUAUACUAUUUUGAAUUACGUAAUCCGGAAGUCAUUUUUUAAAUUUGUAAUUAGUUUCUGGAUUACAUAAUCUAGAAGUCUUUUUUCAUAUGCAUGAUUAAUUUUCGAAUUACAUAAUCCGAAAGUCUUAUUUAGCUUCCAGAUUAUAUAAUCUGGAAGUUUUUUUUCAAAUGAAUUUCUGGAUUACAUAAUCCGAAAACUACUAUAUGGGGGUGACAUAAGAAGAAUAAAAAUAUAUUUUCAUGUUAUGUAUGGAAGUGGCAGAAGAAAAGAAGAUAUGGAGGUGAGAAACAGUCCUUACAAAGACUUUCAACACACUCUAUUCCAAUUACAUAUGCACCGUACACGUGGCGCUACUUUCACAACAGUCACAGAUGAAUGUGUAAGAAAUAUCUUGCACAGGAUAAAUCUUAACCACUCAUCAUAGUCUCCUCUUAUUAAAACGUGUUACAUGUGUUUUUAUUAAGGAAAAUGAUUGCUUAACACUCACUUCAUCUAAUCCCACUAAAUAUUAAUAUUUUAAUUUUUUUAAUUUUUUAAUUUUAAUUUUUUUUAACAUUUUAUAUUUUUAUUAAAGACAUUCCUUUAUUUUUAUAAUUUAUUUUAUUAUAAAUAUUAAUAUUUUAUUGCAGUGGAAAUUGGAGUAAGGUGUCUACGAAUAAUACGGAGACACGUGGCAGAUAAGGUUGUACGUGACUUCACAUCAUUUUGUGAUCAGACAAUGCUAGUUCAAAAAGCUCCUUGGUUUGGCUUAUCUAUAAAACAGAAGAAGAAGAAGAAGAAGCAGCAGAAGAAGAAGAAGAAGAAGAAGAAGAGGAGGAGAAUGGCGUGUAUGACAGUAGCUAUGUGUGGCCCUGCCUUGAACACCUCCUUCCUUAGGAGACAUGCAGUGAGUCUGAAUGCAUUCCCCAAGGCCAAUGCAGUGUUUGGUGUGAAAGGAGGAGGUGGAGGUCGUGUCACUGCCAUGGCUAAACACAAGGUGAAGCUUAUCACCCCAGAGGGUGAAAAAACCUUUGUCUGCUCAGAUGAAACCUUCAUUCUUGAUGCUGCAGAAGAAGUAGGCCUUGACCUUCCCUACUCAUGCAGGGCUGGUGCCUGCUCUUCCUGUCUUGGCAAAGUUGUGAAUGGCCAAGUGGACCAGUCAGAGGGUAGCUACCUAGAUGACGAUCAAAUCGAUCAAGGAUAUGUUCUUACAUGUAUUGCUUACCCCACCUCUGAUGUUGUUAUCCAGACCCACAAGGAGGACGAACUCGUUGGAUAAAUCUCCCUUUCCCACCAUUUUCUUAGAAUAUGCUUCUUUUGUUUCAAAUGUGAUGGAGGAGGAAGAUUGUUAUUGCAUGAUCAAGGUAUUUUAGUUUUGUUUUAUGCUGUUAGUUAGACUAUAGAGAAUGAACUCCACCUUCAGAAUCUCAUCAAACUUUUUAUUAUGUGUUGGUUAUUGGUUCAGGGAAUUUGUAGUCACUGUAGUAAUGUUUUCCUUGUUGGUUGAGUUAAGAACUCUGAUGUUAGUUGCUUGUUCUGAAUUCAUGCUGAUCUUAAUGGUGACUUUGAUUCUUAUCUGCACCAUUUUAGAUCUUUUGGGUUGUUGGAAGCUAAGAGUCAUGCACAAUGGAGGGUCUAACUACACCUAAAAUUCAUAUAAGAUUAGAAAAUAAGUUAGUUUACAAACUCAAAUUCUACUCUGAUUCUGAGAAGAGUUUCUGAGGCAUUAUAUGAUAUAAAACAUUACAAUUGAUUUCUCUGUCUGAAUAAAAGAAAUUAUUUGAUAGUAAACAAAUAGGAUUAAACUGUAUUAACUUUAAGUUUAAUUCAACUUCAUAAAAUCGAUUUAUGAGGUGAGAUUUUAUAAGGUGAGGUAUCGAAAAUGAUUAUGAUACUAUAUUAAAGAGUGGACAUUAAAGAGCGAACUUCAAGCUUAACUCAACUUUUCGCUUCCACUUAUAAAGAAUGAAAUGUACUGUUGUUGGAGAUCUCUACUUGAAGAUGCUGGCUUAUGGUUUGAAGCCAUUUCUCUGAUGUAGUUAAAGAAAUUUAGUAUAAGGUAAUAAGAUAGAAGAAGAAAGCUAGGAUUGUCACACUUCAUUCAUUCAUCAAACACAGGAGAUGGAAAUGAGUUUUUAGAUUGAGUUGUCUCCUUUUAAGAAAGAUGUUUUCAUUUUGCAGUAAAAAUGUCCCACAAAUUUUUCAAGAAUUUUACACAAGGACUACUGUGUGAUCAAUACAAAGAAACAGUUUUUAUGGGCUAAUUACUGAAUCAAACAUGGUACAAAAUGUUUAGAUGUUCUUUUUAAGAGGAGAUCUAGUGGCAACAAUGAUGGUGAAUAUUGAGUUCAUUAAAUAUAUAACAGUUUUGCAAAGAAAAGAAAGUAGCAUGUGAAGUGAAGAAGAUGAAUGCUACAUAAAUGUAUGGUGAAGGGAAAGAUGAAUAGGCUUGGUAGCAUUCAACCUCCACAUGUUAUUGCACUUUAUUGGAUGAAUCUUUUGCAUUCAAUCCAUUAAUUGCAGGCAAUUACUUCCUCCAACUAAUUUCAGUAUGAAAAGACGAAAAUAUUCUUAGAUAAAAUGAAGGUAUAUAUAAAAAUACAUUUCGGAUUCACUUUUUUAGAAAGAACAAAUUUUUUGUAUUAGGGAUUUUUUUUAUCUGUAACGAAAUUUUGAUUUUAUAUUUUCGGAUUUUAUUUUUGGAGCACAAUAAUCUUUUCUGGAUUAUUUUUUCAGAAUACAUCGUUUUUAAUUCUGGAAUUUUAUUUUCAGAACAAAGGAUAUUUUCAAAAUUUUAAAUUUGUAUAGGGUAUAAGUUAAAAAUGAUUGAGUGUAUGAAGAAUUGGGCUUAAUUGUAUCACAGUUCCCACUAUGUUAACCAACACAAUUGCUUGCUGAAAAUUGUAUCAUAGUUUGAACACAAUUCACAAUUCCAAAUCCUAAAUCCUAAACCAACACAAUUCACAAUUCUAAAUGUAUUUUCAAAUUUGGAAAUAUAUUCUGAAUUAUACAAAAUAAAAUAAAAUAGAUUAAUGUAUUAUGAAUUAUGCAAUUGAAUGUAUUUCUAGAUUCAAAAAUAUAUUUUAAGAAUUCAAAAUGCAUAUUUUAUUUGGUAUUAUGAAAUACAUUCUAGAAUACUAAAAAUAAACAUCCUAAACUAUGGAGGUGCAGGCUAAAAUUACGGGUUAGCCUAUAAAUAAAUAAUGGGCCAUUGGAUCCAAGUCAAAAUUUUAUUUAUACUUUAUUAUAAGGGCUUUUUCUUCUUACACUUCUUAAUUAAUAAUUGCAUCCCAUACUAAGACAAAAAAGGGAGAUAAUUAUUUCAGAAAACUCGUCAUGAAAAUUAUUAUAUAUGUUUUCGAAAUCUUUGUUCCAUAAAUCCUGUUACAGGAUGUUCGGGAAAGUUUAUUUUUGGAAAAAGUUUAUUCCAAAAUACAUUUUAUAUACUAUUAUGAAUGUGAAUAUUUAUUGUUUAAAUCAUAAGGUUUUAGAUUAAAAAUAAUAUAUGAUUUAUAUUCAUUAUUACUUGCAUUAAUUUAUAUGUAAGAUUAAUAUUAACUUAAACAAAUAUUAAAAAUAUAUUAUAUUAACAUUAGGGAUUACGAAAUUUAAAAAUUAAAACAUAUUUAAUAUUAUUAUAAUUGGUUAAGUUAACUUUAAUAUUUUUCUUUAAAAUAUUAUUAUUAUUAAAAAUAUAUUUGAUAUUAUUAUAGUCGGGUCAAGUAUAAUAUCUUUAUUUUAGUAUUAAAAUAUAUUUAAUAUUAUUAGUAAAUUGUUUGUGUUUAACAAGUAUUAAAAAAAAUAUAAAAUAUAAAAAAAUGCGAUAUUAAAUAACGUGUUACAGACGUAUUACACACCGAUACUCUCGUAGGAUGUCUCUCAUUCAAGUGUCAAAUUCAAAAAAUAUUUGUUGAAUUUCUAACAAUUCUAGCAUGAUUUUAACACAAUUUUUUUAAAAAUAUAAUUUUUUAAAAAUUUAAACUUAUUAUAUAAAUUUUUAUUGUAAUUAUAAAAAUAAAAACCAAAUACUUUUGAAUGAGCUAUGAAAAAAACAUGUUUUUUUAAAAUAAAAAUAAAAAUAAUUGUACAUAUAAAUAUUUAUUAAUAAAUAGGUUAUCGAGGUUUCAUUCUUAGAUGGUAACACCUUAAAUAUGUUGCAAAUAAUGAAAUUUGACAAGUUAUAAUUUUGUAAAUAAGAAAUAAAUUAAAAAAGAAAAUUAAAUUUAUAAUAAAUCUUACACACACAAAAAAUAGUGAAUAUAAUGAGAGAUAGAAUGAUGCCACGUGGCAGAUAGGGUUGCAUGUGGCCUUACCUCAUGCACGUUAUAAGCACACUAUUUCUUCAAGCUCAUGCUCCCAUUUGUUAUCCAUCACCAACAACAACAACAACAAGCUUGCAGUGACCAAUGGCUUCGAUCACACCCGCUUCCUGUGGCUCUGUGUUGAACACCUCCUUCCUCAGGAAGCAGCCUCUGAACCACACAAGCCUCAAGGCAUUCUCCAAUGCUAAUGCUGUCUUUGGUGUGAAAGGAGGACGUGGAGGUCGUGUGACAGCCAUGGCCAGCUACAAGGUGAAGCUUGUGACCCCAAGUGGAGAGCAAGAGUUCAGUUGCCCAGAUGAUGCAUACAUUCUUGAUGCUGCAGAGGAAGAAGGCAUUGACCUUCCUUACUCAUGCAGGGCUGGUUCUUGCUCUUCAUGUGCUGGCAAAGUUGUGGGUGGCCAAGUGGACCAGUCUGAUGGUAACUUCCUUGAUGACGACCAAAUUGAACAAGGCUUUGUUCUCACCUGUGUUGCUUAUCCCACUUCUGAUGUUGUUAUUGUCACCCACAAGGAGGAGGAGCUCGUUGCUUAAAUCUUAUCAUCACUUUUGUUAUUAACAUUCUAUUCUUCUGGUUUUUCUUUGACGAGUGUAAGAAAUUUAUACGUUUGUGUUAGCUGUAUAUGUGGUUCUGUUGGAUUCCUCGUAUAUGUUUUUUAUGUUUUUUGGACUUAUAGUUUCUCUUACUUUGCGUAAGAGAUUAUGAGUCUUGUUAGGAUUGGAAAGUGCAACAAUUGAAGUUUGUUUUUAUAUCUUAGUGCCAUUUUUCAGGAUAUAAACGUGUGUUGUGCUUGUUCAUGAACAACUUAUUCUGCAUUAACUCGUUAAUUACUUCACCUCUCUGGUGAUAUGUAUCAAAUAUUUAUAAAAAUACACUGGUUUUUGUCAUGCACAUUAGUGAAUUAUACUAAUAUUUCGAGCAGUUAGAGUUCCGAUAUGCUAAAAUUUGUUAACCUUCAUAUAUAUUAAAAAGAUAGAUGAUAUAUCUAAUAUUGUAUCUGAAUGAUUUAAAUGUCUAUGCUCAUUUAAGAAUGAUUUGUACAUCUAUGCUCUAUGAAGUUCCAACUAGUUCUGAAGUAAAAUAAAACACUAAUGAAUCAUGUUUUCUGAAACAAAUCAAGAAGAGUGAUAGCUUUUGCUUUGAUCUUCAACGUUGUGGGGAAUUAGUAUAUACAGAUUCAGACAAAUAUUCAGCUACCUUGAAUGUUUUGCCUUGUUGGGGGUCUCCAACUUCAGCUGUUCUACUGAACUCACUGUUAUCUGAUUCAAAGACCCUAAAGAAGAGGAUCGAGUUAGAGUCCCAGAUGCUACUGUCAUUUCGUCCCUCUCAUCAAUUGUUGAUUCCAGGGAGCAUACUGAUCUUGCAGUGUGUGAAUGCAACGAAUCAUGCUUAGACUUGUGUUUCACUCUUUUACACCAACUAUGCAGAGACUCUCUAACACUCUCUGUCACCAAGGCCUUCUUGCAUUUCGAUCCCAUCUGAGGCCAAUCAUCAAAUAAAUUUACUUUCAUCACGUUUUCGUUAGAACACUUUGUUAAGAACUUAACAAUGAGCAUUAAGCCAACCUGAGAAACUAUUAUGCUCAGGGGCACUGUCAUGUAGCUACACCAGAACUGAACAAUAGCACUGCAAGUUUCAAAAUAACGAAAUGUGAGUCUUCCUGGUGGAAAAAUCGAACUAAUUCUCUCUCAGGUGUAGAUACAAAAUUGACUCUUGCGAAAGCAAUAAGCAAAUAAAAGAAAAAUAGAAAAAUAGAAAUGAGAGAAUAGAUAUCGAAAUCCUAGUCAGAUGUUAGAGAGAAAUUAGAUGAGAUUGAAUGUUAUCCUCACUGAGAAAAAUAAAUAUUGUAAUUCUAGUUUUAUAGUGAAAAUAUUUUCUAGAUUAGAUAUAGUAGAUUUUACUUCUUAAGUGGAGGAAGUUUUCUUAAGUUAAAAGAUUGGAGUAGUGUAAAAUCCAGAAAGUUGGUAAAGAAAGUAGAACAAAAAAAUCUUGAAAGAGAGACGACACCAACCCAGAUGCCAACCGAAUGAUGAUCAUGUAAUGAUUUCUCAUGAAGCACGAUUGUUCUUGGAAUCCCCACUACAAAAACAGAAAUUGAAGAUAAUUCAUUGAACAAAAGCAAGUCAUAAGUCACGUAUACAAUCUUGAAAAACUGAAGUCUUACCAAUGUCCAAAUAAACGUUGCCAUUUCAAAUGCAUUCUGCAUGAACAGUGGAGAAAAUAAGAACAGAAAACACAACCAUGCAGCAUGACCUACUUACAAAUAAAGUGUUAUCGAUUCUUACCUGAAAUAUGACAAACUGUAUCAGCCAUAACAGUAUAUCUGGUUUUUUAAACCAGAAUAGAUCAUCGCGUGGCUUUACUUGUGUCCUAGGAAACGGACCUGUCUGCUCCAUAAUUUCAAGUGCUAAGGUGGAUACAACAUGUUGAAGCUUUGCCCCUAUCAACAUCACAAGCUUUUACGUGUAGAGAAAUCAGACCUUGAUGGAAAUAACUUUCAAUGGACUUUUUCAUUUUGAUUUGUUAAAACAACAAAUUAGAAUAUACAUACAAUUGCAGGGAUAAAUGAUAGCCAGAAGUAUAUAUUCAGACCUGCAAAUUUAGAAACUUAAAUAUCUGAAGAAAUUAAUUUUAAAGACACUAACAAUAUACUAUGAUUCUGAAGAGAAGCUACCGUGGAUGUUCACGAAGAUGCACACUAUGGCAUAAAUCCAAAGCAGCCAGCUGCAAAAUUGAAAAAAAAGGGUUAUUCAGCUGUUAGUUUUCUCAUUGUUUUUCUUAGUAGAAGUCUAAUGUUGAUUAGAAAAAACAUUUGUAUUGGAAACUUCAUUUCCCAUCACUCAAUUCCCUAUGCUAAUCAUGAUUCACGAGCAUGCUAUGUUAGUUAAUUAAGCAACUUACAGUUAAUAACUUGCAUCGGUUUUCAGAAACACCAGUUAAAAGAAGAAAUCCAUUUCAAAAUGGUUCUUACCUUAUUCCUAGAAUGCCAUGAAAUUCAUCUUCCAUGCUUCGAACCAUAUAUUGAUGGAAAUUAUAAGAUAACGGCAAAUUGUGUUCCUGUAAAUUUGUGAAUACGAAAAUUACUUCGAUUUAGAAGAAUCAAAUAAAAGAUUAGGCAAUCAGGGAACAAUAGUGGACCAACAAGUCUCCAGCAUGCAUUAUUUUAUCCAACAUCCUUCAACAGAUAAGAAACUUACAGUGAUGAAACCUAAACGUAGUGCAAGGUAAUCUGAUUUUCGUAUAGAGCUCCUAAACUGACGUAGGAAACAGAGCUGCAAGAUCAGAUCACAAACAUUAAUCCAUUAUAUUCAAACUGUGCACAAGGAUGACACCAAAAACAUUUAGAAACUAGGAGUUGCUAGAAAGAUGUUUAGAUGGGUGAGUUGCUAGAGAAAUUAUGCAUCAAAAGGCCAUCCCAGUAAAAGCAGCACACAAAUAAUUAAGGAUGUGCCAUUUAUGUUGAAAUGUUACCAUCCAGUUUAGGAUUGGACUCCUGCUCCAUGGAUGAGAAGUGCGAUGGAAAAUAAAUGUUGUCUGUCGCUUCAUCAACUUGAUUUUCUUUGCUGUUUAACAAAAAUUAAUAAAAAGUUUAGGACAUAGAUUAAUCUGUUCUAUUCAAUGCAGAAGUGUUUGUCAGAUUUCAUUCAUGAUAUGAUGUCACAUUUUAAGACCAAUCGUUAUGAAGUAACCAUUCUAUGCCAUUUACCUUGCUGGUUUCCAUCACUUGGCAUCCUAGCCUGAUUUUCCCAUCUGCGCCAACUAUAGAUCUACAAACACUUGCAACAAAGAUAAAAUAAAUGAUAUGAACCAGACUACCAAACAUAGAAAACAACAGCAAUGAAGACAACUCCAAGUGAUCGAUUGGAACAAGGAUCCCUUAAACAAAGACACUAAUUUAACCAUUGGCAUUACUGGUUAGAAGAGCAUGAUGUUGCUAAAACACCUCUGGGGUUGAUGUUGUACAUGUAGUAAACUGAAAAUUAUGAUGACUUACCUUACUCAUUGCCAAACCAACUGCCAGACAACUAUACAAAACAUGAGUGAUUCCGAGAACAAAUAAGAACCGGUGCAGCUGCUCAAGACCUUCAUAUGAAACAAAAGGUUCAUGACCCUGCAUUCAUGUAUUAGUAUUUUUGGAAGGGCUAUGCAGUAUUGCAAAGAAACAAAGAUUUAAUAUUAAGUAUGACAUUGACACUAUAUGCAAGAUAUUUAGUGGCUAACAUUAUACUCACUGCAGUGAAGAAAGCAAAGCUUAAAUGUAGUUGUAAUUAGUGUAUGUUACCUCUCCACAUUGGUUGAAUGCUCCAGUAAUACUAGUUUCAUCAGGGAUAGAUGAUGAUGAGCUUUCCAGCAUGAUAUUCUCAUUUAUGUCCACGUCUUGCUCAGAACAAAUAUAAAAUCGACUGCUAAAAAGUGACGAAGUCACACAAAUUUCAGAGAUCCAUCUUGCACUUUGUGCCAACAGCAAAGAGAUAAGUCCAAGCAACAUCAGCUCUAUCACAAAAGAAAAAACAGAUACUAAUCUUUAAGUCUAAGUCAAUCUCGUAAAACUGGUUUAUAAGAUAGGUUUACACCCAAAUAUAUAAUAUAAAAUAUUCUAAUCUCCGGUUAAUAUGACAUUUACAACAGUAACUCAAGAACAUAAGGCAUAAUGGAAAUGUGAAAUAAUACUCAGUGUCACUACCUUCCUUGAGUUUCUCCAGUGAAGCAAAAAGUGCCUUCCUUCUUGUUUUCUUCAACCACUGCACAACAAGAAAAAAAAGUUUCAUUUCUACUUAUCAUGGGAAGUAGCAACCCAGAAAGUAACCAGUGAAAAGGGUGAUUUGUUCACUCUACAGUGUACUACUACACAUAAAUUUGCAGUGUUUACCUCUCCAAAGCGGUAGAUUGAACGUUCAACCAAUAAGCAGACAAAGACCAUGACAGCAACAACAGAGGCAACUGAAUAUGUUGGUGUCUCAGCCAGAGAGCGACCUCGCUGCAGCACCUCUGCCAUUGUUCACUUCAAAGCAACAAGUUGAAGUCUUUUUCAUGGGAAAAACAUAGUUCCUUGAUUCCACAUAAAUGGAGCCAGAUGGGAUCCAGGGAAUGGGGAAGUGCAGUGCAAAACGGAAGUGUAUCUUAGUUUAAUAAUUAUUUGGUGAAGAAGGUGCAUGUGCACAUUGGAAACUUCACUCACCUUACACAAAAAACUUCAUUAUUUAUUUAAUCUUUAGUUGUUGGUUUAUAUAUAUGUUUUAUGUUAUUUUGGAUUUUGAUAUGUUACUAUACUUUAACCAAAAUAUUCAUAUUUGUUUAUUCUUUUUUGGUGAUAAAAAAAGUUAAUUAUUAUUUUCUGAGGCCACACAACCUUGUUCACUUUCCAGUGUCGUGCUUUUUCCUCUCUCCAAAUCGAAAAGCAUGCACAUGGAGGGUUUCCCAGUCUCCCAGGUAAGUUGCUAAUAAUUUGUAAGUUGGAAGGGUCCCAAUAGAAACCUGGUAUAUUCUAUGCAUGUGGAUGCUGAUACGAUCAAUAUCAAUUCCCAACAAAUCAAACUACAAAAGGAAACAGAAAAUACUAACAGAAAAUAAUAAAAGAACUUUGAUAUAUAAUAUGAUGAGAUAAAGAGGAAUAAGAUACAUUAAUUUGGUAUUUAUAUCAUCAGUUAAAUAUAAGUUAAAUAUAUUUUUCGUUUUUUCUUUUAACAUGAAAUUGGUUUUAAUUCUUGUUCUAAACUUUAGAUUAUCCAGUUAUUUAUAAUAUAGAAAUUAUAGAAAUGAGUUAUUGUAUACGUGAAAUAAUUACAAGUUUUUUCAAGAUUUGUUGAUGUUUUGAUUGUAAAUACUUACUAAAAUUGUUUUUAAUGGUUGAUGAAUUUCAAAUUGAAACAAUUGUAUAUAUUAAAUGAUCUAUUUCAAUCAUUUUUAUACUACAAACAACUGGAUGAUAUAAAAUUUGAACCAGGAACGAAAAUCAGUUGAAGAGACCAAAACCAAUUUCGUGUCUUAGAAUUUAAGGUUUAGUACAUGGACGUUAAAAUCUUCAAGAUUUUGUUUUUAGAGUGGUGUUUAAUUUUUUAAAUAAACUCUUAUUAAGGUUUGAUUCUCAAAAUGAUAGAAAAAAACUCAUCAGAACAAAUAAUCACUAUUAAGCAUGAUUUUCAAAUGAGUAUUAUUCGUUGAAAAAAUGCAUAUAUACUUCACACUUUAUUGAGUUAUUCAUUUAUUUUAAGAUAAUUUUAUGUUUGAAAACAAAUGAUAAUCUAUCAUGAAUAUUAGUUUCUUAUGUUUUUUAUAUAUUUUAAAACAAAUAUAGGAUAUUAAUUUUUUUGAGUCAUAUUUUAAAUAUUUUAAAAAUAAAUUAUUAACAAUUAAAAGUUACUUUUGAUCACAAUAUAACUAUUUACUAUACAGAUAAAAUAUAAUUUGAAUCUAACUUUCUUGAAUUGAAAAGUUCAAAUAAUGUAAAAGACUAUAAUGUCUUAAUCAUCUUGUCUUAUUGAAUAUAAAUAUAUCAAGUGUUGAAAAAUAAAUGAGGCGUGGAUCUAAUUUUUAUAAACUUAAAGAAAAGUUGUAAUGGUGUAAAAAUACUACAAUAGAUUUAUUUUCUUAUUUUAUAUAUCUAUAAAAUAUAAAAAAAUAAUAAUCUUUAUGGACAAAAGUUGUGAGAUUAUCUUACUUUUAAGCUAAAUGCUUAGAUAAUAAUUUUAUUUAAUAAAUACUUUCAUUUUAAUUAUACAAGUUUAUAAAUUGUAUAAAUACAAUUAUUAAUAGUUUAGUGAUUUGAUGAUAAAAUACUUAAACCUUUGUAAAUAGGAUUUAAAAAUUUGAAUUUAAUCUUUUGGUGAUAUUAGUAAUCCAUUGUGAUGUUAGUAUCAAAUAGUGACACAUGUUAGAAUAAACUAUCCACAGUGUACACAUGUCCUAUUAGGUUAACACAAUCUUUUUUUUAAGUGUAAUUUAAUUGAACUAUUUAUUUUAUUUAGACUUACUUAUUAAAAUUGUUUUAAAGAGAUUAAUUUUAAUUCGUGUUAUGGUUUGAGUAUUAUUUAAAAAAAAAAAAUUGUGCUUUAAGUACUCUUAGUGUAAUUUAUUUGAGUUAUAUUUUUAAAGUGAUUUUUGGAUAAUUCAAUUUAAAAAUACACAAAUAUUUAUUUUAAAAUAUAUCUAUAAAUAUUCAUAAAUACCCGCGAUUAUUUUUCUCUCAUAACCUAUGUAGCCUAGACACUAACACACAGACAUUGAUUCGACAUGUACACGAAUAUAUGUAUAAUAUUUAAAAUGUAGGACACAAAUUUAUAUAUUAUAUAAUUAUAAAUUAUAUAAAUUGAUAAUAAAGAUUUAUGUUUAUGUGCACAAGUAUGUUUUAAUUUUUUUAGAAAAAAUAUGUUUUUUUUAUGUCUAGUUAAAAAAAUUGUUUUUUUAUUUUUAUAAUCAUAAUAAAAAUUUAUAUAAUAAGUUUGAAUUUUUAAAAAAUUAAUAUUUUUUUAAAAAAAUUGCGUUAGAGUCGUGCUAUAAUUGUCAGAAAUGCAAUAAAUAUUUUUUUAAGUAGACACUUCACUCAUACAUAUCUUACGAGAUGUCCAAUAUAUAUAUUCGACACGAAAAUAUUAUUUAAGAGUGAUUUCCAAACCUUAGGUCAAAACUCAACAAAUGGAUAAUAUAUUUUUUAUUUUUUAUUUUUCUUACAAUUGUUUUUUUUUUUAGUAUUUGUUGUUCUAUCAAUACACAUAUUACUAAUUUUUGUAUAGUUAAAUAUGGGAUUUUUAAGGACAACCUUGUUAUAUUUAUUCAGGGAAAGUCACAUAUAAUAUAAUACUUUAUCUAAAUUUCCUUACUACACUUAUUUCUUUGUUAUAUUAUUGCUUCAAAUUUUAAAUAUCAAUAAGAGAAAAUAUUAUUAUUUUAUUAAUUAUAAAAGAAUACUUUAUAUAUUACAUGUAAGAAAAAAAUUGAAAGAAAAGGGGGUUGCAUAACCAUUCAUACCAUUUAUUCCGUUCCUUAAACCAUUGAAAUUGAGCCUCAAAUAUUAGAAGAAAGAGAUUCCUAAAACCCUAAUCUUCCAAAACCCUACACUCUCUCAUGGCGUCGUCGUUAAUUCGCCUCCGCCGAACCCUCAGAGCACUCUCCGGCGUCACCCACUCCAUCUCCGCCGCGCAUGCGUCGUCCAUUUCGGCCCCUAUCAGGUGCGCCGUUCCAUGGAGUUCCCACUCUCCGAAGGGUGUGGUUCAGUCCCGUUCUUUCAGGUCAUCAUCAGCUUCUUUUCUCUCUGUUAGAUCCUCGCAGAGCAACAUCCCCGACGAGAUUGGUCCCGAUACCAUUCUCUUCGAGGGCUGCGACUACAACCACUGGCUCUUCGUCAUGGACUUCCCCCGAGACAACAAACCCUCUCCCGAAGACAUGGUUCGCGCUUAUGAGGAAACUUGUGCCAAAGGCCUCAACAUCAGGUUCCUCACUUCAUCUCUCGUACAACUCUUCCUAUCACAAUGUUUUGAUUAUAACUCGUUCGCAUACACCAAAAAUAAGUUAGAUUAUGAAAAAAAUAUCGAUGAGUGCGAGCAACACACUCUAUUAUCGAUAACUGCAAAAUCAUGUGUGGAGGUCGUUGAUUAAAAUUAGAAACAGUGAAAUUUUGUGAUUUUCAGCCAAUUUUAGUUGAGAGCGUGUUGAUGUGUUGGUACUGGUGGUCUUUACUUGAAUAUUUGGGUUUUUUUUCAGUGUGGAAGAGGCGAAGAAGAAGAUAUAUGCGUGCAGUACAACAACUUACACAGGCUUUCAGGCAGUCAUGACCGAAGAAGAGUCUAAAAAAUUUGAAGGUAUUUGUUCCUGCUUCUCACUCUCGAAUUCCAUGAUCAUGUCGAGAAAAUAUAAUUUGGUGUUUGAUUUGUUGCAUCUUAACAGGUCUUCCUGGAGUCAUCUUUGUGCUACCAGAUUCCUAUAUUGAUCCAGUGAACAAGCAGUACGGGGGUAUGGUUAUUUUUUUCUUUUCAGAAGUUUGAUUGGAUUUAUUCAUUACUUGUUCAAAUUUCAGUAUUUGCUAUAUCAUGUGCACUUCAACAGUUUGCUACCCUUUUGAUUACAAGAAUGUUUCUGAAAUAAAGUUUUCGUGGUUGAUAAAUAGGAGAUCAGUACAUUGAUGGAACUAUUAUCCCUCGACCUCCACCAGUACAGUAUGGGAGAAAUCAAGGAAGACGAGACCGGAAUAGGAGUCCUGGUCAGUACAACCGACAAGAGAAUCCCUCUUAUAAUAGUCAGGAGUCCAUGCAUGGGGAUGGAAGGAACUAUGGACCUUCACAAAAUUAUCCACCCUCACAGAACUAUGGUCAAGCAUCACAGAAUUAUCCACCUCAGCAGAACUAUGGUCAAUCAUCACAGAAUUAUCCGCCUCAGCAGAACUAUGGCCAAGCAUCUCAGAAUUAUCCACCCCAACAGAAAUAUGGCCAGACCUCACAGAACAAUCCUUCCCAACAAAGUUAUGGCCAGACAUCACAGAACAAUCCUUCCCAACCAAAUUAUGGCCAGACAUCACAGAACAAUCCUCCCCAACAAAAUUAUGGCCAGACAUCACAGAACAAUCCUCCCCAGCCAAAUUAUGGUCAAUCAUCUCAGAAUUAUCCACCACAACAGAGAUAUGGCCAGACAUCACAGAACUAUUCUCCCCAACAAAAUUAUGGCCAAGCAUCACACAAUUAUCCACCCCAACAGAAUUAUGGUCAGGCAUCACGCAAUUUUCCACCCCAACAAAAUUACGGUCAGACACCACAAAAUUAUCCACCCCAGGAGAACUUUAAUCAAGCAUCGCAGAAUUAUCCACCUCAUGCUCAGCAGCAGGGCUUUGGACCUCCAGGACAAGGGGAAAGGAGUUAUAUGCCACAGCAGAACUUUGGACGACCGGGACAAGGGGAAAGAAGAGAUACUGUGCCUAGGCAUGGUGCUUCAGAUGUGAGGGAUGAUACUUUUAUACCGUCAUACAUGAAGGAAUUUGAACAGGCUGAGCAGCAGGGGAAUCAACCUUCUGGCCGAGGCAAUUUUACUGGAGAGGUAUUGUAGAGAACCAAAAUUGAGUACAUUCAAGUUUCUGAGUCAAAUUAGUCAGAAUAGAGAUUAAAACUGAUGUUAAUAUUUAGUUCAAUAUAUUUUAUUGCGGGUCUGUAUUCGUUGAGGCUAGAUCUUUGCUAUUGGAAAAAAUUUCAACUUUGUCUCUAUCAAUACAAAAGAUAACUUGCUUUUGUUAUUUUUUGCAGGGAAGAUAUUGAGAGUAGUCGGAGACAUGUGGGCGGCUUGUAUUAAAGUACUAAUCACAUUCUAAGCUGAUUUGCAUGUCCUUUCCAUUUGGUGGAAUAUUGAUUUAUUGAGCUGUCGGUGUGUAUCGAUUAACUUUUAGUUCAUGCACUGCUGUGACAAAGUUGGAUGUGGUAUGUAAUUUAGUACUGGCUGCUACCUUGUUUUUUGAACAUGGUUGAACUCUGAAUUUCACGUGGUACUUUGCUCUCUUACUCCUCUUUCUCGUUCUCAUUGUGACGAACGAAACAGUUAAUAAUUGUGAAUUUGCUCUGUAUCAUGUGGCAAAUUGGUCAGUUUCCAUAGGCAGCCUAGUGCCAUAGCCCACACCCAACGUCCAUGUCUUACUCUUUUGUUUGAUAUCUUAAUUUGGCAUAUAUUUCAAGUUUUGGAAGAUCUAAUUCUUCUGAUGAUAAAAGUUGUUAGUGAGAAGUGCGGUUGAAGCAAAGAAGAAAAGGAUUAUUGUGCUAAUGACUGAGAAUAGUGGGCAUUAAAACAUAUUCAAAGAAUGUUCUUGGUCUGGCUUCAAUGUGUCUGAGGCUCCCAAGGAAAAUCAGACUUCUAUUAUCAGUGGCAGUUUUGAGGCUUAAGCUGAAAUGACAUGGAUAUAUGAACUCCUUCCACGUAUAAUCACUGAAUUCUAAUGCUUCUUUACACGAACAACAAUAAAUAUUAUUCUUAACAUCAAUUUUAGUAAAACAAUAUCACUCUUUCAAUAAAUGUAUUGGCAAAAUAAUGCUUUGUUGAAGAGUAAGGAAAUAGAUUAAUUGACAAACAAAACUAUUAAGACUGUUGGCAACACACUCGAAAAGGAUCUACUGAAAACAAAAGAUUUGCCUGAUUGAAAAAAAAAACAUCAAGAAAAGGAAGGGAUAAUAACUUUUUUUUUGCAAAUAAAUUUUAUUUACAAGUUGAAGUUGUACCACACCAAAUAUAAAGUAGUCAUAUAAGAAAAUACUAAAGAUAAUCACAUUAAAUUGCAUUAUUACCCAUAUGCUCAAUAACAAAAUUCUUUCUCCAAUAAAUUCCAAAUACAAGAUAAUCCUUCUAAAGGCUACUAACAUUGCUAUAGUAAAGGUCUCGAUUAAAGGGCAUUACUGAACCCUAAAACAGGAACUAAAUUUCUUCUUUUCAAAAGAAAAUAAAAAAGAACAUUAACAAUUGAUUACAACAAAAAAUUACAGACAGACGAAUAAGAAAACUAGAAAUUGAAAUUUAAUUGAAUAUUCUAACAACAACGCCAAAUUUAAUCAAUGUCAUACUCAACCAAAUUAAAAAAUUAAAAUAUAAAUAGCCGACUUCACAAAAACGACAAUAAAAUUCAAUUAUAAUAGUUGAUAUGUUUUUUUUACCUAUUAAAUUAAGCAAAUAAUUGUAUGGAAUUAAGUAAAUUAAACAUAAAUUAUAAUUAACGAACAAAAUCAAGUUAUCGCGUUAAAAAACAAUUCCAAAAUCAAGGAUCAGAAGUAAAAAAAAAAAACAUAUUAUCUAGUGCAAUCUAACACAGAAAUUGAUGAACAGAAAUCACACGAGAAAACAUAAUAUGUUACAUAUGCCAAUUAGGUUAGUGCACUUAAGAAUAUAAAUUCAACCAAUAAUUACAGUUAAAGUCCAAUUAAAUUACAUUAUAUGAAUUCUAAUUGAAACUAAGUGAAAUGUAUUUAUCCUUAAAUUCAUCUUGAAUUAAUAUAAUUUCAAUCAAAAGAUUAAAAAAAAAAACUAUUAAAAAUUUAGAACAAUCGACCACAGUGGGAGUCGAACCCACGACCUUCUGAUCCGAAGUCAGACGCGCUAAUCCACUGCGCUAUGCGGUCUUUGUUGACUAUUCUACAUUCAAAUAUUUUAAAUAUGUUAUUAUUAGAUCCUUUUGGUUACAACUGAACCAUUGCUAUAACGUAUUUUUGUCAAUACAAGUAUGUGGGUAGUUAUUUUAUGCAUGAACUCACUGGAAGCGACGUCGUUUCAGAUAAAGUGAAAAAUUAGAAUAAAGCGGGAGUUAGGGUUCGAGCACAACCUUGUUCGUGUGCGAGGGUUGCAGAGAGAAGCGAAUCGAAUCGGAAUGAGCGGUUGGGUGAAGCGACGCGGCGACGGUGUCGUCGGGAGCAGCAGAGAGGAAGAUCAGCUCAUAGUCACUCCAUUAGGCGCCGGAAAUGAGGUUGGCCGUUCCUGCGUCUACAUGUCCUACAAAGGCAAAAUCGUCUUGUUCGAUUGCGGCAUUCACCCUGCUUACUCCGGCAUGGCCGCUCUCCCCUAUUUCGACGAGAUUGACCCUUCCACCGUCGACGUCCUCCUCAUCACUCACUUCCACUUGGACCACGCCGCCUCCUUGCCCUACUUUCUCGAGAAAACCACCUUCCGUGGCCGCGUUUUCAUGACCUACGCCACCAAGGCCAUUUACAAGCUCCUCUUGUCCGAUUUUGUCAAAGUCAGUAAAGUCUCCGUCGAAGACAUGCUCUAUGACGAACAGGACAUCAACCGCUCCAUGGAUAAAAUCGAGGUUCUCUUCUCAUUUUCGCCUUUUCUGCUUCUCGCUACUUAAAUUUACUUCUCCGUCACUACUCGUAGAAGGAAAAUUAACAAGGUGUGGUGAAUUCAGUUUUUCGUAUAAGCUAAGCAAAAUCAACUUCCAAUUUAUUUAUCUAGGGUUGUAGUUUAGUUUAUCUCUUUAAUGUUUGCUUACAGAAAUUUGUGACUGCAGGUGAUAGAUUUCCAUCAAACAUUGGAAGUGAACGGUAUUCGAUUCUGGUGUUAUACUGCAGGACAUGUGCUUGGUGCUGCUAUGUUCAUGGUUGACAUCGCUGGUGUCCGAGUUCUUUAUACUGGAGAUUAUUCGCGCGAGGAAGAUCGGCAUCUCCGAGCUGCUGAGACCCCACAGUUUUCCCCCGAUGUUUGUAUUAUAGAGUCCACCUAUGGUAUACAGCACCAUCAGCCUCGGCACACUCGGGAAAAACGCUUCACUGAUGUUAUUCACUCCACCAUUUCUCAGGGGGGUCGUGUGUUGAUUCCAGUAUUUGCCCUUGGUCGUGCACAGGAGCUCCUCCUGAUCCUUGAUGAGUAUUGGGAAAAUCAUCCAGAGCUUCAGAAUAUACCCAUCUAUUAUGCUUCUCCUCUUGCAAAAAAAUGUUUGACCGUGUAUGAAACAUAUACCCUUUCCAUGAAUGACAGGAUCAAGAAUGCUAAGUCGAAUCCCUUUUCCUUCAAGCACGUGUCAGCUUUGAGUAGCAUUGAUGUUUUCAAAGAUGUGGGACCGUCUGUUGUGAUGGCAAGUCCUGGUGGGCUUCAGAGUGGUUUGUCACGACAACUAUUUGAAAUGUGGUGCUCUGAUAAGAAAAAUGCUUGUGUUUUACCAGGGUAUGUUGUUGAAGGGACAUUGGCAAAAACCAUCAUCAAUGAACCCAAGGAGGUUACUCUCAUGAAUGGACUCACUGCACCGCUUAACAUGCAGGUGCACUACAUUUCCUUUUCUGCUCACGCUGACUCUGCUCAAACAAGUGCUUUCUUAGAAGAGCUCAAUCCCCCUAAUAUAAUUCUUGUUCAUGGGGAAGCUAAUGAGAUGGGCAGGCUCAAACAGAAGCUUAUGAGUCAAUUUGCUGAUCGCAACACCAAAAUUCUUACUCCGAAAAACUGUCAAUCUGUUGAAAUGUAUUUCAAUUCCCAGAAAAUGGCAAAAACCAUAGGGAAGCUGGCUGAGAAAACACCGGAAGUUGGCGAAACUGUCAGUGGUUUACUGGUAAAAAAAGGCUUCACAUACCAGAUAAUGGCACCUGAUGAUCUCCAUGUCUUUUCACAACUAUCAACAGCAAGCAUCACUCAGAGAAUUACCAUUCCUUAUUCUUGUGCCUUUAAUGUCAUUCGGCAUAGACUAAAACAGAUAUAUGAGAGUGUUGAGCAGUCAGUGGAUGAGGAAUCUGGAGUUCCUACAUUGCAAGUCCAUGACUGCGUUACUGUGAAGCAAGAAUCUGAAAAGCAUAUCUCCUUGCAUUGGGCAGCUGACCCCAUUGGGGACAUGGUAUCAGAUUCAAUUGUUGCUCUGAUUUUAAAUAUCAGCCGUGAUGUCCCAAAAAUAAUGGAUGAAGCUGAUGCCGUUAAAAUUGAGGAAGAGAGUGAGAAGAAGGCAGAGAAGGUUAUGCAUGCCCUCCUCGUUUCACUCUUUGGAGAUGUGAAGAAAAGUGAAAAUGGUAAAUUGAUAAUCAGCAUUGAUGGGAAUGUAGCAGAGCUCAACAAAGAAAGUGGGGAAGUUGAGAGUGAAAAUGAAGGUCUCAAGGAAAGAGUAAAGACAGCAUUCCGCCGUAUUCAGAGUUCUGUGAAGCCAAUUCCUCUUCCUGCACCAUAGUCUAUUCCUUUUCUUGCAUUGUCUUGGGAAGGUUCAAUGCCACCAAACACUUGCUCACAUGAGACAGUUAUCAUAACAUGUAGUUACUGUAUCUUUAGAAUGACGAGCUUGGACACAACAUUCUCUGCCCCAUUUUUGUUAUUCAUCGAACAUUUAAUCAUUUAGUCUUCAAAUGUUUUAUUAAUGUGUCUUUAAUUUUUCUGUCUGUCAUUUUCUAGCUGAUAGCGAUGGUGCGCAUGAUUGAAUACUGAUCUCCUUGUUUCUAAAGCAUACUGAUUUUCUUUUAAUUCAUGAAUGAUUGAAUUUUGCUUACCAUGGAUCUUGUGCUGGGAAAUACAGUGUUGGACUGUUAGGUUUGAUGUUCUAUUUACCUAAAAACUAGUAGUGUGUCUCAGAUGAUUAAGGGUUCAUGAUUAUCACCAAAUAACUUUCGAUGUUCGGAAUCUUAAUAAAUUAAAAGAAUGUAAAUGAUUUAGUAUGCCUAUUUCAGGAAUGCUCUUUUAAUUUUUUAACAGAAGAAUCUUUGAAGUAUUAUUUUAUUUUAAUCUAAUAAUGUUGGUGCUAAGUGUAUCUGGGAUCAAAGUACGUGCAAUUUGAAUUUAUCACGAUUUGUUUCCCCAUGAGAUACCGACAUAAAAAUGGAGAUUAACCAAUCUGUUUUCCCCUCGCGAAAUGAUGAUGUUAAAGAGAAUAUUAAAAGUUAAAACACUUUAAAUUUAUAAGAAAUCUUUUAUUGAAAAAUAUAAUAUUUAAAUCUAAUGAUUUUGAAUAAAAAAUAUUAUUUACCAGUUUCUUAAUUGAUAUCUAAAGAUACUCAUUGGUAGGAUUCUUUAGAAUGGCAGUAUAAAUAUCAUCUUAGACACUUCAUCUUUUUCGCAAAAUAAUUUUACAUUUUGUUUAAAUCUUAAAAAAAAUGAAGCUUUUUUUGUCUAUAAUUUAGUAAUAAAAUUGUAAUAGUGACAAAUUAAUGUUAAAAAAGGAAUUUAAAUAGUUAUAAUUGACAGCUAACCAUAAAAAUAAAAUAAAAAAUACUAGUUUUCUCUUAAAUUUAUUAAAUAAUCUGAAUUAUAUUAAAAAACACGUCCUCUUUUGAUCAGAAUGCAUAAAAUAUUGUCAUUCUAUUGAUUUCCUCAUUAAUAUUAAACAAAAGUUAAAGAUGCUAAUUUUCUUGAAACAAAUGAAAGACAAAAAAACACUUAAUAAAAUAGCAUAUUUCCAUUUUAUAGUUUAUUUAAAUAAUUACUUGAAAUAUUUGUUAAUUUUCAAUUGCAACAGCUAAUAACAAGAUGGAGAGAGCAGUAAUAGAAUAUUGGAUUUUAAAGGUUAUAGCAGUAAUGGAGUAUUAAGUUUGAUGAAUAACAAGUAAAUGUAUUAAUUCCCAAGUUCAAAAGUAUCAAAAGCGAUGAGAUGAAUAAUAAGAUAAGAAAACAUAAAAUAUGGGGCUCAUAAACUAGUAUAUGGAUAUUUAAAGGAAUUUGAAACUAGCCUAUACUCUUGAAAAAAAUUUAGCAGUAACAUCUAAGAUGUCACAUGACAUUAGACUGCAGUUUUCUUGUUCCUGAAAUUCUCCUUCAUCAUUGCAAAUUUUUUCUUACACUGAUUCACAGUCUUCCCAGGUACAGCUGCUGCAACUCUCUCCCACCUCUGGCUUGUUUCCUUUGGAAAGGCUUUUAGAGCUUGAACCAGUGCUCGUUCAUGCACUGCAGACCACACAUCCUGUUCUGAACUGGAAGAAACUCCAUUAGCAGAUGCAGAGUUCUGAUUAUCUGUAUUCUUGCUGUGAGAAUCUUCUGUGUUAUUGGUUGAGGCAGGAGUUGGAGUUGGAGUUGAUACCCCUUCUAAUUCUUCUCUGGUUGUCAGUGGAGACUCAAUUGAUUGUGCACCAGGUUUCCUUUUCUCAAGAAAAGUGUCAAAAGCUUUUGAUGAAUCAGGUUUCUGGAGGAGUACAGUUUUAGUUGCCUUCAUUAUUUCUUCAACAGAUCUUCCAGUACCAAUGUAUUCUGAAAUAACCUCCCAUCUCCUUGAAGUUCCUUUGGGGUAUUUCUGCAUUCCUUUCCUCAGUAGAUCAAUCUCUUCUUUACUCCAAGGUUUCUCCUCCUUCUUCUCAACAUUGCUUCUCGAAGCACUGCCAUUAGCCUUGAUGGAACCAUUGGAAUUUUGUUGAUUGGUUUUCUCAUCAGCCUUGAUGGUUUUCUCAUCUUUCUUAGAGCUCAGAGCGUCUCUCAAAACACUUGCUUGCUCUAAUAAAACCUGCCUGCCUUCCAUGUUCUCACAUAGACUCCUCAUCUGCUCAAUAUCAAGUGACAUGCAAAGCCUUUCUACAUCAUCAUCAGAAAUAUCAAGCAAACGUUGGGACAGAAUAGGUCCUGAAAGAGUCCGGAGGCGAGCUCGCUCCUUUCGCAACAGCUUUUUCUCUUUCUCUUUGACCUUCUUCUGUUGUAAGGCAGCUUCUGCAGCUUGUCUCUCUUCCUCCUCUUUUCUCUGCUUCUCCUCCUCUGCAAUUCUGGCUGCUUCUUCUUCCUGCAAUUUCUUUGCCAGGAACUUAGCCUCCUUUUUCCUUUGUUUCUGAGCUUUUUCUUCUUCCUUUCUUCUAGAUAUUCUGGGGUCCCUCUUGUAAGCAUUAUCAACAAGAGUACGAAUCCGUGCAUAGUCCUCCUUCCUAGCUUUUUCUGUCAAUUUUGCAUUCUGCCUUUCCAUCCACCUCUUGUGGUCUCGAGAUUCAGCUUGCUCGAGAUCAAACUCAUCAGCAUGUGGAAACUCCCUCCAACUUUUAAAGGAGUACCAAAAAUUGUAGAAAUUAUCAACUUCUUUUAAUGGAGUAUUAUCAUCACCUAGUGUAGGAAUUGGUUGAUUAACCGACCAUCGUCCGUUCCUCAUAAAAGCAGGACCAAACACCUUAAAGAAAUCUUGUGGAGCACAAUCAGUGGGAAUCUCGUCAUCAAACUCAUCAGUGGAAUCAUAAAUCCUUCUCUUCACAGAAUCAGUCAGCACUUCAUAUGCUUCCUGGAUUGCCUUGAAGUGACUUUCUAUUUCAUCCUUCUUUGCUUGUUUCGCAGCUUCAGUUUCCUCAGCCAAAAGAAGGGCAGCCUGCUUGUCAGGAUGAAACCUCAAGGCAGUUUCACGAUAGCUUUUACGGAUUUGAUCCUCAGUAGCCAGAUACCUUAGAUGACCCAGACCCAAUAAUGCAUAGUGAUCUUGUUGCUUGUCCCCAGUACCAGAUUUCUUUUUGCUUUUGCUGCUAUAAGAAUCAGAUGGAAGGUACGUUUGUUCCUUAUCAUCAACCACCUUUUUGUCAUCAGCCUCAUUCUUCUCUUCCUGAACACCACGAAGUUUAAGUGCAGCAGAAUGGAAAGAAUGACCUGCAGGUUCAUAUUUCAAAGCCUUCGUCGGAAGACAGUUUGAAGAGACAAAAAUAGGUUGUCCAUCUACAAUCUCUUGUGAGUAAGUAAUAAGACGGAAUUUUGUAUGUACAGCCAUAAUGGUGGCCUUUCAGAACAAAGAAAUAUGUCUCCCCUCAAAUUUAACACCGCAACCUGCAUUCAAAUAAAAACUCAGUUAGACAAUUCCCAGUCCCUUGACUUCAAUUAAACAAACAUCUAAAUCAUUAUUUUAAUAGAAUGAGAUAUUUUCUUUAAGAGAAAGUGGACUACAACUGCGAAGUGAAGGGAAAAAAAGGCCAAUAAUGCAACAAGGAUGCCCAAUCUCAAAGCAUAUUAGAUACAGCAACUCUCUUGAUGCAGCAAUGAACGGAUUAAUAGAACACCAAAGAUGAGCACUCUGUUAAAAACUUUUAGCUAAUACACCACAGAAUUUAAAACAAGCCAAAAACUGUUUCAGAGUAGACCUAAACAACUAUUGCUCCUCCAAGCAGCAUUAUCUAAGAAGUAAGGCCAAAAUUCAGCCAUAUAAACAUGUCAUUGCAGCCUAUGCAAUUUGGCAUCACCAGUUAACAACAUUGCCAACAGAAGGCAAUCGAAAUAUUUUAUAAUGGGAAAGUAGCCAUCUUACAGUGAAAAAAGAACAAAAACACAACACACUGAGCUUUGUUUUCAUGAAGGUGGUAGAAGUGAGACAUACAACACUGAACAGAAAAGAAGUAGCUUAUUGGCAAGUUUGCACUGUACAAAGAUGAAAAAGGCAACCACUGGCCUCUCAGAAAGAGGCAUAUUUUUUAAAAAUAAUGUUUUUCCAAACUAAGACGAGAAAGGGUUACAGAUACAUUAAAUAGGUAUUCAGUUACUGCACCUGGGCUUAAAAUACACGCAUUGAAAUACAAUUAACUAGAUAUCAAAGAACUAAAAACAUGGGUAAUUAGAGGGAAAGUACUGUGUAUGACCUCCGAAAGUAAAUAUCGAUUCAGCUUCACAUUAACUGCAAACAUACCAAAAUUCAUUAAACUCUCAAACCUAAGGCAAAAAACAGUUUAGACAAACAUAGUUCCGCCAAUUCUUCCCACUUCCCUCCCUAACUUCAUCAAACGAAUAAAAUAAAAUAAAAUCACCCCAUUCAAUGAAGACAAAAGGUAAAGGAAAUAACACAUCCAAAACAUCUUUAGUUAAGUAAAAAACAGCCUAAAGCUACCAUUAUGUUAACAUAAAAUUCAUAUUGUAACAGUGGUCCUGCAGAAGAGCCUUUUUCUCAAAGCAUGAGAACGAAAAUCCGAAAAACAUGAAAAAAUGAGGACAAGAAACAUUGAAAAGGCAUAAUAAUUUUUUUCUACUGAAGAUUGUAAUUAACUGAGUGCAUGUUGGGUUCCACAUCUGGGAUCGACAAUUAGGGUAAAAUCACGUCGAAGACAAUGCAAAAGCAACAUGCUCCCAGAUACACAGUAACAAGAUUUGUGGAUUUCCUUUAAGUAGUAUCCAACACCAAAACUAAAAAAACUUCAACAAAGAAACCGCAGAAGAUGAAAGAACAAUUAUAAACGAAUAAACGAAAAGUACACAAAUUCAAUCAACCAUGAAGAAAAGAAAAAAAAUAACCCAGUUAAACAAACCGAAAGGGCUGAAGCUAAACUGAAAAGGGUUUCAGAUAUAUGCAGAGAAAGGUUACAGCUGUACCCAGAAACCGAGAAAAGUGUAGGUGAUGCAGGAGGAGAAGUGGAAGGAAAACAGAUCGUGAUUGGCAUGUGGGGUGUGUGAUGCAGAAAGUGAUGAGAUGGGAAAACGAAGAGGAAGAAGAAAGAUGAAAGCUUUACCAAGAAAAAAGGAGGGAGGAAUCACGGAAUGAAGGGAAGAAGAAGCCGACUCUGAAGAGCACAACACAAGAGAAGGAAAGCUUUGGUUUUGGUUUGGGCAUUUUAUAUGUGGCAACACCCACUGCCCUAUCUCUCUCUCUCUCUUUCCAAAAAUAAAUCAACAUUAUAUUAAGAACCCUAACAAAAUAUUUCUUCAUCUCAAUUUCCUUAUUUUGCAUAGAAUAAAAUAAUAUAAAUUUAAAUUAAUUGGUUAUUAUUUUUAAAAUAGAUUUGAAAUUUUGAUGUAAUAUCUAUCAUAUCAUUUUAAAUAUAAUUUGUUAUAAAUCAUAACAAAUUUAUCGCGUAUGUGAACAGAUAAUAUUUACAUUAACUUCUCUUUAAAUUUUAAAGCAAAAAUAAAUAAAAAAUGUUGAGAAUGCUAUAUUUUGUGAAAAAACUAGGUUAAGAAAAAUAUUUCAAGUGUGUGAAUUUUACCUGAAUUGAAAAAAGUCCUUAAGAUGGAUCUUUGUUCCUCAAAUUGGACCCAAUUAUCAUGAGAAUACUUAUGAUUAUGAUUGAUGAAAAUAAUUUUCUUACUCAACACCAUAUACAUAAGUAUAUUUAGGUCUCGUGCAAGUGUAAAAUAAAAUAAAAUAAGAUAAAAUAAGAUAAGAUAAAAUAAAAUAAAAUAUUUGUUUCUUCGACGAUAAUUUUCUUCUCUUCUACAUUUCUUGUUUCUUGCAAUACAUGCCAAAAACGUUUUGAACUUUUACCUCCAAUAACAAAAACUAAGACAAAUGUGGGGAAAGUAAAAGAUUUCUUUCACACCUUUGAAAACAUAUACUUAUACCACAUUAUAAUAAAUAAUAAUAUUUAAAAAUAAAAAAUAAAUUAUCUAGUAAAAUAAUAUAAAAAUACAAAUAGAAUUCAAAUUUUAAAAAGUAAAAUAAUAUAAAUACAAUUGAACACAGUUUAUAUCUAUUUGGUUUAGUACAUAAUUUUUUUUAAUAAUCUUAACGUUAUCAAAGUUUUAUUAUCUAGUUCAAUAGGAACUUAAUCACCACCUUAAGGCUCAAAUCCUAUCCAAAACCAAAACAAAAUGGUGUUUAAGUUAUGAAUGCAUGAAAGAAAUUUGAAAACCUUGCAUGUUUUCUCCAUAUUUUCAAAUGAUAAGAAGAGAUUAAAAUUGUAAUUUCAGGUCUUAUAUGAGGUGAGAAAGAAGACAUGGAGGUACAGAAAGAAAUUCCCUAUAAGGCAUUGGUUAAAGCCUCACAAAAUAGCCCAAUAAAUUUGAGGUCCACAAUCAAAUUAUUUUCACUCACUAAUAUAACUAUUCUUGUCCUUUUACAUUUAUACAUCCACCUGUUCAGAUCAAUCCACAUAAAUUCUGAACAUAACUUUAAAUAAAUUAAAGUUAAAUAUACUUUAAAUUUAAUUAUCAACUGCACAUUAUUUCCAUACUAUUUUUAAUAUACAAAAACACAAGUGGUUACAAUAGAAAAUAACACAUCUGAAAUUUAUGAAGAAGUUAUAACUUAUCUUAAAUAUAUAUAAAUAUGAUGUCCCUUUCAAUGCAUGUUGAUAUGUUGAUGAAUAUAUAUAGCAUAUGGUUUAGGUAAAGAGAGAGAGAGAAAGAAUGAGCAUGCAUUUCCAUUACUAGAAAUAGUGUUAUAUGGUGAGUUUGGUGAAGACUUAGAAGCACUGAAUAAUGGCUACCAUUUUCAUCUUCAUCUUCUUCUUCUUCCUCGUACCCUCUUGUAACCACCUCAAACCUUCUUUUUUUGUUUCUAAUUUUUCAUUUCUAUUGUCACCAUUCAUAUCUCUUUCACUGGGAAUGCAGAUGGAUUCGACUCGUUGGAUCCUCUUGGCAACAUCACCAUCACAUGGGAUUAUUUCUCCGACAACGGGAAUUCAGUCGACGUAACCAUUUCUACUUUUUAUUUUUCUAACUUACGUAUUCUGUUCUGAUUUACCCUUUUUAUGGGCUCUUCAUCAUCGCCGUCUAAGAAGAUAUCAAAGUGACUUAGUCAGAAUGUCUGCGGGUUUUCGAUGUUCUUAAGGAAACAGUGAGAUGCGUACGCUUUGUUUGUUUGUUUUUUAGGGUUAUGUUCGGUCUCUUGUAUACUUCCAAUCACUUCAUGCCACGUCAGCUAAACAUAGUGCAUUUCUUUGGCAAUAUAUGAGGCCAUUCUAGUAGUUCACUCUGUCUCAAUAGUCUCGUCUACGUGGGUUGCUGUUCAAGUGUAUGUAACAGUUUCUAGAUUAAUCAAGAUUAAGAUAUAUAAGUGUUUAUAAAUCUCACUUAUAAGCUAGUUUUAUAAAAUUGAUUAUCAGAGUAAUUCCAAACUUAAUCUAAUUAUUUGUUGGAUUUAUCAGUCUACCCAACACGAAUUGGUAAACUCGAUGUGCAGAUGUGUUGAAGAUUCACGUUAACUAGAGAUUAUGACUUAUAAAUACAUGCAAAUCUCACUUUAUAAACUGAAUUAAGCUUAAAGUUAACCUAUAGUUUCGUAUAAAUACUGAACUGCAAUAGCAUGCAUGGUAACAAGUGCGAUUUAUGGUGUGUUUGGUUUACUUGGUAGGUGAGGGUAUCACUGAACAACUUGCAGCUAUUUCGUCACGUGGAGGAACCCGGUUGGAAUUUGGGUUGGGCAUGGAAAGGUGAUGAGGUGAUUUGGGCUAUGUUGGGAGCAGAGGCAAAGGAGCAAGGGAAUUGCACAAGAUUUAGAGGACAACAGAAACCACACUGUUGCCAGAAGGAGCCUGUUAUCAUUGAUCUCAUGCCUGGAACCCCCUACAACAUGCAGACUGCAAAUUGCUGCAAAGGUGGGGUCCUAACAUCCCUAAAACAAGAUCAUUCCAAAGGUGGCGCCACCUUCCAGAUGAAUUAUAUCAAAGCUUCAGUCUCCGAUUCAGGUGGCAGUUUUAGCAUGCCUGAGAAUUUCACCCUUGGAGUUCCUGGCUAUAGCUGUGGGACACCCUUUCAAGUCCCCCCAACCAAGUUUACCAAAGAUGGACACAGAUGGCAACAAGUCUUGGGUCAGUACUGCUUCUUAAUAUCUCUUUUAUGCCUCACAAAGUUACCUCAGAAUCGUUAAUAACUCUACUUAUGUAUAUGAUAACAUGGUCAAAAUUAUUCUAUACACAUCAAUCUUUUCUGCUCUUGUUUUAUCUCACGUGAGUUAUUUUGUUGGAAUUAUGUGGGUUAUAUAUGCAUUCUUCUGUCUGAUAAGUUGUUUCGACAUGCUCUUUGUUCAUGUAUAUUUCAACAGCUUGGUGUGGUUCAUAUUGUAUUUUUUUUGUGGAUUACUUGCAGAGACUUGGAAUGUGACUUGUAUUUACUCCCAGUUUCUAGCAUCACCUACUCCAACAUGUUGUGUCUCUUUGUCUGCAUUCUACAACAGUACCAUUGUUCCUUGUCCCACAUGCAGUUGUAAUUGCCAAGGACUACCAGGAGCUACUAAUUGCGUCGAGUAAUUCUUCUCAUCUUCACUUAAUUUAUGCUUCAAAGCUUCUUUCAUAGAAUAACCAAUAAUCUAUUUGCAGUUCUGAUAAGACUUCAGUGUUGCAAGUACCACAAACAAAUCGCGGAGAAGCAUCAGCGGCAGUGAUCAGGUGUUCACAUCACAUGUGCCCCAUUAGCAUUCACUGGCAUGUGAAGCAAAGUUAUAAAGAGCAUUGGCGGGUCAAGAUCACAAUCACAAACAUGAACUUUGUCAAAAACUAUUCCCAGUGGAAUUUGGUGGCGGUUCACCCUAACUUCCGAAGCGUAACCCAAGUCUUCAGUUUCAACUUCCAAACCCUAUCAGUUUAUGCAAAUUUCAGUAAGUUACUGCAUUAUUGUCACCAUUAAUAAUACUGUAAGAGUAUCACACCUCAAUCUAAGAACCACAGUCACAUAAAAACACUUUGUUUGAACUAUGAGACUCAGAUACUCCUCUUAAAUAACAUGUCUAUGUCGGAUGCCUGUAUCGGUGGUGAAGUUUCAAAUGCAAAAAAUAUUUAUUAGAUUUAUGACGAAUGAGUGUUUUGAUGGUGUAUGGAUUUCAGGUGACAUAGGGAUGUUUUGGGGGCUACCAUACUACAAUGACAGGUUGCUGACACAUGGAGAGAAUGGGCAUGUGCAAACAGAGGUGUUACUACACAAAGAUCGAGGAGAGUUCAGGUUCAACGAAGGAUGGAGUUUUCCUAGAAAAAUUUCAUUCAAUGGCGAUGAGUGUGUGAUGCCAUCUCCUGAUGCAUACCCUACACUCCCCAACACAGCUCAUAUUUCCACAACAACCCUUCCCACAAUUUUCCUUUCACUGUUACUGCUCUCAAUUUGUUCUACAUCUUUAGAAUGAAGAAUUCUAGUUUAGUAUUUCAUAGUUUAGCGUCACACUGUAUUUCUAGUUAUUUCGUGUAGUCAAAACCUCAAUAAUAACAAAUCAACUGUGUUAUAACCUUUAAAAUUGGUCAAAACACCAUUAAAAAAAAUUAUUAGAAAAAAAAUAAUUUUAAAAACUAAAAUAUUUAAAUAUUCACUAAAUUAGAUUAGAAACUAUUUUAUAAAUUAAAUUAAAAAAUUAUUAGUAUAUAAAGUAUUUUCUCUCAUUAAUACAAAAUUAUAAAAUAAUUUUUAAUUUAAUAUUUAUUCAUUAGGUAUCAAGAUUUUAGUUACUUAACAUUUUAUAUUUUAAAUUAUUAAUAUUUAUUAAUCUUUUAGAUACUAAUUUAAAAUCUAAAAUAUUAAUAAUUAAAACUCAAAUAAGUAAUUUAGAUAUCAAUUUAAAAAUUAUUUUAUAGAUUUUUAUUAAUGAUAAAAAUCAGUUUAGAUAUUAAUAAUUUUCUAUUCUCUAAAUUAAUAUCUAAUUUAGUAAAUAUAAAAACUAAUUAAAUUUAUCAAUAAAUUUAAUUGUUAUUUAAUAAUUUUUUUAUAAUAUAUAAAAGCAAUUACAACUAUGGCACUAUAAUAAUAAAACUUUGCACUCAUUAACCUUGCGAAUUGAAUGAACGAUCGUUUUAUUCCAAUUUCAAGUUUGACUUCUUAACCCUAAUUGGAUACGUUGUAGUAUUUAAUAAAUCAUUAACUAUUAUUUUUAAAUUUUAAGAUAAUAUUGAUUAUUUUUUUAUCAUUUAUAUUGUUUUUCCUCAUUAGACGCUUACUUAGUUUAUAUAUGUAUUUGUUAUAAUAUGAAAACUAAAAAGGAUAAAACAGAAAUUCUUAUAAACAUUUUAUUAAAAUAAAAAUUGAUUACGUUUCUCCAAAAAAAACCUACAAUACUUAAAACAAGACAAAUGAACACAACAUAAUGUGAUCAAAAAUCACAUUAUCCGUUUCUAUUAAUAUCAAUUAUACAUUUAUUUAUUUAAGUCUCUAUUCUAUUUAUACAUUUAUUUAUUAUUUUUCUAUCAAUUUCUCUAUCUUCUUUUAUAUUCUUUUUUUUAUGAUUUUUUUUUCAUCUCACCGCACACUACAAGAGAAAAUUUUAGGUUAAUUUUUCCAUCUCUUUUCAUUUGUCUUUUAAAAUUAUUUUGCAAAAAAAAUAAAUAAGUUUUCUUAUUUUAUCACUUUCUUUCUCCACCUCUAUUAAAAAACACAGAGUUUAAUAGUUUAGAAAUAAUAGUUUAAUAGAGUUUAUUUUCUUCUUAGAUAUAAAAGUUACUUGAUUUUAUUUAUUUGUUUAUGAUUUUUUAAAAUGAUAAUAUUUCUUUACUUUUUGCAUAUUUUUUAAUUAACAACAACAUUUUUAUUGUUUUUCAUCUCUUUUUCUUUUCUUCUCUUUUUAUCACACUUUAUUUUAUUAUUUUCAUCCAACCAAACAUAAUAAUAAAGAUAUAGUGCCGAUUAAAUAAAUAAAUAAUAAUUUAUACCUCUAAGGGAAUUUUCUACUUUUCUAAAUUAUUUCCUUAUUUUAUCUUUAUUUUAUAUUUUUUUUAUUAAUUUAUUUUGAUUAUUCAGACAUUUUAUAAUUUUAUAAAUUAAUAAAAUAGUUUUUUAAUUUUAAAAUUUUAUGUUAUUUAUUCUCAUUUAACUAUUUGGAGAGAUUGAUAUACGUUAAUUUUAUUUAUUGUCACCUGACAGGAGGAGAGUGGAGAGAUUAAUUACUUUCCUGUUUUAAACUUAUAUUCUUCUUUAUUAAAUAAACAAUUUUAAAAUUUUAUUUGUUCCCACUUAACUGUUAAGGAAGUGGAGAGAUUGACAGGUUAAUUAAUUUUAUUUGUGAUCACUUAACUAACAGAAUGGUGUAGAGAUUGAUUAUCAGAAGUAGCGUUGAAUGUAGAACAAUUUUUUUAUUUUCUCUCUCUUAUUUUAUCUCUCUCCUUCCAAAUCUUUUGAAACCCAAUAACAUAUUUCUCAUACAUACAAAUACACAUGAAUUUAUAUUUAAAUAUAUAUAUAAUAAAAAAAACUAAAAAAUACGAAUGAACAGACGAAAAGAUCAAGCAUCGCCUAAUAAUAAUAAUAAUAAAGAUAUAGUGUAAUAAAUAAAAGCGUAAUUAAUAUUAUUUGAACUAUCUGAAUGAGAAAUAAAUAAAAACAAAAUAGUCAAAAGAAACAACACUUAAAAAGGAAGAAAUAACUCUUUACUAUUAUAAAUCAUAAAUGCCAAUUAAACUUUCAACUCUGACUUUUUAGUGAGAUUGGUUAAUGUGAUAUAAUUAUUAAUUACAGAAGUUAUGGCAACACAUGAGAACAAAAUAUAAUUUAAUUAAAAUAGUUGUUACAUUAAAUAUCAAUUAAUGAUCAUAUAUAUAUUAAUAAGAAAAUAUAUAAGUAUAUUUUUAUUAGAAAAUGAUAUAUAAGAUUUUUUUUUCUAAAAUUUUCUUUAUUAAAGAUAUAUAGGAACUAUUUUUUUUCUAUACCCAUCAAUUUUAAGGAGUCUCACUUCUAAAUUUUGUUAAUUUAUCCUUAAGUUCAAGUUAAUAGCACUCUUAUUCCAAGAUUCUCCCUUAUAUUGAUUAAAAUUUACUGAAAAUUAACAAUUCUAAUGGGUAUAGCUACUAAAUAAAAAAUAUUUAUUAAAUGAGAAGUGAAACCUUCCAAAAUUAAUUAAUAAAAAUAACAUUAGAAAAAGAGGAGUCAACGAAAGUGUAUGUAUACCAAUAUAUUUCAAUAUCAGAUAUUUAUAUGAAAUUGCUUUAGGGUUUCAAAAAACUACUAAAAAAGUUAAUUUAUGCAAAUAUAAAAGCUAAUUAGCUUUAUUAAUUUCAUUUAAAAACAAAUAUCCAUCCUUCAAUUAUUUUUCAUUAUAAUUUGAUAUAAAAAAUAUUAAAAUUAAUAUUUUAAUUUCAUAAAACAUAUUUUUGGGGAUAAUAUAUCAUUAAAUAAGAUAAUAUAAUUAAUAUUUUUUGUAUUUUAAACUAAAAUACAUUAUUUUUAUUAUUAUUUAUAUUCAAGACCGAAUGAAAUAUUACAUUUUUUCAAAUCAAUUGUACAUAAAAAAAUAAGUAAUUUUAAUAGUUGAAGAUAAUAGUAUAUUCAUAGUAUACUUGUAAUAUUUCUUUUCAGCGUUUAGUUUAUUAUCUAAACUUAAUUGUUUACUUGGUUCAAGUAGAAUUGAGACUAAAUCUCUUAAAAAAUGUUAGAUUCUUAGUAAUAUAAGUGAAACAAAUAUAAUUGAAAAAAUUAAUAAGAUAUGAUAAUUUUCAAUCAUAAUAAAAAUAAUUAUUAGUAAAAUCAGUGAAUAGUACAUGUAUACAACAAGAAAAUCAUUAAAUAUCAAUUAAUUUUAGACUAAUUAAUUAAAUUAAAUAUUAUUUUAUAAAUUAAAAAAUUAUUGAUAUUUAAAUUAAUUUUUAUUAUUAAUAAAAAUGUAUAAUAUACUUUUAAAAUUAAUUAGAUAUCAUGAAUUUAAAAACUAGUUUCUAAACUAUAGUAUAUAAAAUAGUAUUUAUUAUUAAUAAAAUUUAUAAUUUAAUUUUUAAAUUAUGACUAAUUAAUACGAGUUUAGAAAUUAAUUUAUAAAUUUCAUUAAUAAUAAAAAAUACUAUAUAUGAAUAAUUUUUAUAAUUUUUAAAAUAAUAUCUAAUAUAAUUAAUAUUAACUACUUUUUGUCUUUAAAAUUAAUUUUGUUGUGAUAAAAUUCGAUAAAGCUAAAUUAAUAUUUUUAAUAUCAAUAUAAAAAAAAUUAGUAAAAUUCAAUCCUAUGCUUCCGUGUCAAAAUAAAUAAGAUUUUCGAAAUAUAUCUGAUAACAAAACAUAUUGACAAACAGACUAAUUAAUAUCAUAAUUGCUCAUUAAUAUGUAUAACUCAUUCAACUCAUCAUAUAAUAUUUAAUAUUAACUAUUUAAUUAAUUAAAUAACUUUUUUUAAAUAUAUAUUUGUCAUUUAGUCCUAUUUGAAACCGUUUCUCUUUGACUUAAACUCUCAUCUACAACUUCAACGCUAGAAUCCCUCACUUAAAAGAAGGUGAAUAAGCAUGAGAGAUUAAGUUUUUAUUUAUUUUUUUAUUACACAAAAGCAAGUAUUUUUCAAUGUAAAACAAUUCAUUAUACUAAAGUCUUACAAAAAUUGUUUAGAUAAACUACAAGAAAAUCAUGAAAUAGAAACUAAUUUUAUAGAUAAAAAAUAAUUAGUUGUUAUAGUGACUAAAUUAGAUACCAUUUUAAAAACUAAAAAAAUAGUUUUUAAAUAUUUUAUUAUUGUUAAAUAGUUUAUAAAUUGAUAUCUAAUUAGCUAUACCAAUUAUUUAUAUUCUAAAAUUGGUAGCAAAAACUUUGGUUACUAAUUAGAUACUAAUUUAGAAACCAUUUAACAAUAAUAAAAAUUAAUUUAUAAACUAAAAAUAUUUUUAGUCUCUAAUUUAGUCAUUAUAACAACUAAUUAUUUUUGUCUAUAAAAUUGGUUUCUAUUUCAUGAUUUUCUUGUAGUGGGAGUCUUAGAAACAAUUAUCUUCUACUUUUCCUCUCGGUUUUUCAGCUUCUCACUAAUGACUUAGACUUUCUAUGGAUCAGCUAACUUGGAUUAUAUUAUGUGGGCUUGGACUUAUUUUUGGCUAUUAGAUAUGGACUAUCACUCAGCUAUUGGAUCUGGGUCAGCUCUCAGCUUCUAGAUCCAAAGUGAGUGUACCUGUAAGGGGCUCCGAUGGUAAAGUUAUAAUUGGUUUGUUUGAUUAUCAGAUAAAAAAAAACAUUCUACUUACCUAUUACACAAAUCACCUAUUUUAUAUUUUAACUUGAUUGGACUUUUACUUUUCACACAUUAUAGUUACUAAGUAUAUUUCAAGUGUUUUUUGUCUAUUUAUUGAACUUUGAUACAAUGCUAUUUUAUUCUAUUAUUUAUUUAUAUUUUAACUUUCAAUAUUCUGAGAGUCUUACGGCCUUUUGACCUUUCGACCUAGUCAUUACCGUUUACAAAAGUCAAUUACAUACACAUGUACAAUAUAACUUUUUAUUUUAGAAUUAUUAAUUCUUCUUAAGUAGCCUAAUUUAGUUUCUCUUUUUUUUUGUGUUUCCCAAGAAAACUUAUAAAUAUAAAAUGUUAGAGAAGUCCUAACCUACUUCUAGAAGACUUGUUUAAAAAACGAAACACAUUAUAAACUUAUACUACUUACACUAUAAGAAAUCAUUAAAUGAAAACUAAUUUUAAAGACCAACAUAAUUAGUUUUUAUUUGAACAAAUUAGAGACCAUUUUAUAAACUAAAAAAAAAAAUUGGUAGCUAAUUUAGAAAUUAAUUUAGAAUAUAAAGUACGAAGUAGCUAAAAUUUUGGUAGCUAAAUUAUAGAGACUAAUUCUAGUCUCCAAAAAGUCAUGAUGCAAUCCAACUUCAGAGGUAAGAAGUUGCCUAACCGAUAGUGUGCCAUUAAAGCUUUAGAAUUGAGUUGCACUUACACAUACAUAUAUGUGUGAUUAUGUAUAGUUAUAUGUAUAUUGUUUAGGUUGAAUAUAUGUAUGAUUAUGUAUAGUUAUAUGUAUAUUGUUUAGGUCGAAUGAGCAAAAGGUUGAAAGGUCGAUAAUAAGAUGAAAAACUAAACAAAAAUGAAUAAAUAAUUAAAUAAUAAAAUAUUAUAGCAAAAUUCAUUGAAUAGAUCUAAAUAUGUACAAUAUGUUUAAGAAAUAUACACUAAAAGAAAAUCAUGAAAUAAAAACCAAUUUGUAGAAACCAAAAUAAUUAGUUGCAAUAGUAACUAAAUUAGAGACCAUUUUAGAAACUAACAAAAAAAUUGGUUUCUAAAUUAGUUUCUAUUAUUUUCUAUUAUUGUUAAAUAGUCUCUAAAUUAGUAUCUAAUUAGCAACCAAAGUUUUUGCUACCAAAUUUAGAAACUAAAUAAUUGGUAGUUAAAACAUUAGUUGCUAAUUAGAUACCAAUUUAAAAACUAUUUAACAAUAAUAUAAAAUAAUAGAAAGUAAUUUAGAAACCAAUUUUUUGUUUAGUUUCUAAAAUGAUCUCUAUUUUAGUUCCUAUUGUAACUAAUUAUUUUGGUCUCUAAAAAUUGGUUUCUAUUUCAUGAUUUUCUUGUACAAAUAGUAAAAGUCCAAUUGGGUCUAAAGUUCAAUAAGUGAGUACUAUAAACAGGUGAUCAACUCAAGAAGUAAGUAGAGUGAAUUCUAUCUUAUAAUUAACCAAAAUCGAUUAUGACUUUAUCAUCGGAGCUCCUUAUAGGUACACACAUCCGCCUGAGAGCUGACCUUGAGUCUAAAAGUCAAGAGUCCAAGUUGACUAAACCAGAAUCCGUCCAAGUCCAAACUAGUAAACAAUGUAGUUGAAAGUCCAAGCUUGAAUCAAAAGAUCGUGAAGCCAAGAAGUUAAGAGAAGAAGAAAUUCAUUGUUUUUAGGCCUUGUAAGAACAUUAUGAAUUGUUUUAAGCAUGACGAAAUAAACUUAAAAAGUUGUCAGUAGUCAAUCCUAAAAAACGUAGUUGAUAAAAUACGUUGAAGUUCAUUAAAAAAAACAAAGAUCUCAAUUAAACUAUUAAUGAAAAAAAUUAAAUAACCUAAUUAAUGCUUCGCGUUUAAUCCGGAAAAUAAAAUGAUGGUUUGAAGGAUUUGUUUAAAAAACAUGAUCAAAACACAUUAAAAAAUGAUAUAUUGACAACUUUCACCAGUCUACAACCUCAAUUUUUACCUAAAACUUGUAUCCGUUUAUGAAAUAACGAAAAUAACCUUUCUUUAUAUCAUCGAUCACUCGUUGAAUAUUGAAGCAUAGUUGUCAAAAUAUCAUUACUCAAGAUGCACAUGUAACCCUUGUUGAGAUGACGUGUCACAUCCCACCUUCUCUUCUUCUCUAUAAAAGCAUGAACACAUAUCACCAUUCAUACAUCAACCUAUACCUUACCCUUUCAUCUCUUCACACCCCAAAUCCCAAAACACCAUCACCAUGUCAAGCGUCAACACCAGUGCUUACACCACCCAACUCCGAGCCUCUCACUUGGAAGUACAGUUUGGGUACGAGGAGUGUUGCCGCAACCAUGCAGUGGCCGUAGGAGGAGCUUCCUACGAUGGCUGCAACGAGUAUCAGAAAGCAAGGUCGCAGAACUCUUUCCUCUGUGCAUGCUGUGGUUGUCACCGCAACUUUCACCGCAAACGCCCUACUUUGAAAAGAGAGCGCCGAACUGAAGCAGGGAAUGGUCGUGCUCUGGAUAUAGUUCCUGUUUCAGAGACGUUUCGCCCGGAGCGUAGCAACAACCCAGAGCCACUGCAGCUGGUGAGGCCACUGAGGAGGAGGAGGACGAGGUUCUCGCGCGACCAGAAGAAGCAAAUGACGAGGUUUGCUGAGAUAUUGGGGUGGAAACCUCACAAGGGUAACAGGGAGGAUAUUCAACGUUUCUGCACUGACAUGGGAAUAAGCCGGAAGAUCUUCGUGGUGUGGCUGAACAACAAUCGUCACCGUGCAACUCCGAAUGUGAGUGAUCCAUGAAGCAGUUAGAGGUUGAUGGUUGGAUCGGUCUUGGCACUUGGCAUUAAUAAGGAUUUUGUUUCCAUGUAUUGUUCCUAGUAUCAGUGUGUUUGUGUUUGUGUUUGUUCUGUGUUUUUCUUUUCAGUUUAUCUGUGUUUUCAGUGCUUUGACUUUUAGUGAUGUAGUCCAUGUGCCAUGAAUUUCUAAGUGAAUGACUGUUAUGUGUUUCAAAUGCAUUCUUCAUUUUCCUUCACUCUAUCUUCAACCUACCUCAAAAAUACUUCCUUAUUAACCGGAUCUAAAUUUUAUCUUAUAAGCCGAUUUUAUAAAGUUGUUGAGUUAAACUUAAAGUUCACUUCUUAAUAUAUAUCAGAGUCAUCUAAGGUUUAUCUCAAGAAAAUAUAUAUCAAAGUCAUCUAAAGUUUAUCUCAAAAAAAUAUAUAUCAGAGUCAUCUAAGGUUUAUCUCAAGAAGGGUUUGUUGAGCUUACAUUCCUUAUGUCAUCGAUGAAUGAUAAAUAUAUAAUCUUAUUAUACCAUUUUUAUUUUUUUAAUCUUUCUCGCUCUAAAUAGAAGUCAUGUCAAGUUUAUAUUAAAUUCUAAACACAUAUACAUAUUCAUUAAAAGAAAACUACUAAAUUAAAAUGAUUUUUUGUGGAAUCUUUCCUCCUUUCAUAAAAUCAAAGCUCACAAUUUAAUUUUUCUUUUGGAAAAAAAUUGUUUCACAAGCUCAACACUAAAAGAAUUUCAUUUAUAAUAAUAUAAUAUUAUUUUUAAUUAAAAAUAAAAUAAAAAUAACUGAAAAGAAUAAUUAUUGAAUUAUUAAGGGUGUGUAUUUAAUUUUUGGAGAGUCGAGAAUAAUCACUCUUUUGUUUUAUUAAAAACCGUCACCUUAUUGUCAUGACUUAUUAAAUUUUGUUUUGUCGUUUCUUCUUAAAAAAAUUAAAGUCAUAUGCACCAUUUACUUUAACGUGCCGGUAAUAUAAAUAUUAUGCUUGUUAUAUACGUUACUCGAUAACUAAAAUCCAAUACAAUUAAAUAGGAGAAAAAAAAUUAAUGAUUAAUGUGAUAACGGGUAAUUGAAUAUUUUUUUUAUAUAUUUUUCUUCAAGCUUAUUCAUACUCAUCAAUGUGGAAAAACUCACACUUAUAAUCCUAAUAUUAAUAUAUACUACAAUAAAAUCAUUAAAUAGUAACUAAAUUUAGAAGCAAAAAAUAAUAAUUAGUCACUAUAUUAACUAAAUUAAAUACUAAUUUAGAGAAAAAUUAUUCAUAUCUCAAGUGAUUUCUAUUAUCAGUAAAAAUUUAUAAAAUGAUUUAUGUAUUUGUAUCUAAAUUAGCUACCUAAGUUUUAGCGAUUGAUUUUUUAGAUUUUAAUUCAGUCUCUAAAAGAUUAAUAGAGACUAAUUUAGAAUAUAAGUAGUAAAUAGCUAAAAUUUUGGUAGGUAAUGGUUAGAUACCAAUUUAGAAACCAUUUUAUAAAUUUGUAUUAAUAAUGGAAACUAUUAUAGAUACCAAUAGUUUUUUUAGUUUAUAAAAUAGUCUCUAAUUUAAUGAAAUAGUAACUAAUUAUUUUGAUCUCUAUAAUUAGUUUCCAUUUUAUGAUUUUCUUGUAAUAAUAUUAGAUAAUAAAAAAGCGUAACAAUUCAAGAUCAAAAAAUACUAUCCAAAUUGAAAAAUCAAUACAAAUAUAUAGUUUCAUCUUGUCGUACAAUCUCUUAGUCAUGUACAUCUUGUUUCUCUCAAAAAGCAUGUCUAAAAAACAACCAUAUAUUAUCGAAUAUGAAUCUACAUAAUUGAAAUAUUGAAUAUACAUUUUUCAUUUUCUUUCACUCUCUCUUCAAAUGACCUUAAAAUAACAUUCUCUUUAACUUCGUUAUUUGUUUAUUUAAUUUGGAUGAGCACCAUUUCUAUUUUCUUAAUCUUUGUCAUUCUAAAUAGAAGUCAUGCCAAGUUUAUAUUAAGUUUGCAUUUGUAUCUCAUUUGUUUUACAUUGAAUUUGACAUAUUUAUUAUAAGAAAAUCAUUAAAUAUAAACUAAUUUUAAAAAUAAAAAAUAUUUUUUAUUAUAUUAUAAUCUUGUUUAAAAUAAAAUAUUGUAUUAUAAGAAAAUAAUAAUUUUUAUGGAUGCUGAGUGAAUAGAACUAGUGUUAAGGUAUCAUUACCCAAAAAAAAAGAAUGAAAAUGUCAUAAUAAGAUUUUGAUGGUGAUAGAUUGACACAACAAAUAAUAAAAAAUAUGAACUAACAAACCAAUAAAUUAAUAUUUUAAUAUGUUUAAUUUAUUUUUUAAUUUAAAAUAUUAAUAUAUUAUUAUAAUAGGCUGUCGAGUACAUGUGAUUUACUUUUUUGGUGUCAAAGUAAUCUUUUACACAAAAUUGUCCUCUUUUCAUAAAAUGAAUCCCACAAUUUAGUUUUUUUUUUUUGAAAAAAAAUUGCUUCACAUCCUCAACACUAAAAAAAAAAUCAUUUAUAGCAAUAUAAUAUUAUUUUAAAUUAGAAAUAAAUAAAUAUAACAACAAAAAUAAUUUAUUGAGUUAUUAAGUAAUUGUAUUUAUUUUUUGGAGUGUUAGAGAAUCAUCACUCUUUUCUUUUAUUAUAAAUCGUCACCUCAUUAUCCUGACUUAUUAAAUUUUAUUUUGCCGUUUCUUCUUAUAAAAAUAAAGUCAUAUGCACCGGUUUACUUAGCGUGUCGUUUAUCAAAAUAUUAUACCUGUUCUUUACUUUACUCGAUAACUAACAUUCAAUACAAUUAAAUAGGAAAAAAGUAUAACGAUUCAAGAUAUAUUAGAUAAUAAAAAGUAUAAUGAUUCAAGAUCAAGAAAUACUACCCAAAUUGAAAAACAAUAAUAAUAAAUAGUUUCAUUUUCUACUACAAUAAUUUCUUAGUCAUGUACAUUUUCUUAAGAGUGAAGUCCUAAGUUCCUCUCAAAAAAUAUUUUAAAAACAAUCAUAUAUUAUCCAAUAUGAAUUUAUAUAAUUGAAAUAUCAUCCAUGUAAAUUUCAUUAGACUUUAGAUCAUUUAUCGAUAUGUGCGUAUCAUGCCAUAUUAAUAUUCAUUGUAUCCUUCCAAAUUUUUUUUCAUGACCCAUGCUUUUGUGUUUUUUUUUUUUUUUUAAUUUUAGGUUUUUCUUUUCAUGUGACGACACAAUUUAACACUACGAAACACUACGAAACAAUCAUUGUUAAUUUUAGAGACAAGAAACAAUUAGUCAUUGACUAAAUAUUUUAGAAACUACAAAAUUAUUGAUAUUCAAAGUAAUUUCUAUUAUUAAUAAAAAUGUAUAAAUUAUUAUCUAAAUUAGCUACCAAGAGUUUAGUUAGUAAUAUUUUAGAUUUUAAAUUAGUCUAAAAAAUUAUAGAGACUAAUUUAUAAUAUAAAAUAUUUAGUAGCUAAAACAUUAGUAAUUAAUAGUUACAUACCAAUUUAGAAACUAUUUUAUAAAUUUUUAUUAAUAAUAAAAAUUAUUUUAAAUAUCAAUAAUUUUUAAUUUAUAAAGUUAUAUCUAAUUUAGUUAAUAUAAUAAUUAAUUAUUUAAUUUUUAUAAUUAGUUUUUAUGUAAUGAUUUUUUUGUUGUAAUGUUAUGUCUUGUAAUUGAAUAUAGUUUUAUGAAAGUAAAAUUAAGAAAUUAUGUAGCUGUUUUUUAGUUGACGAAGUUUUAAAGAAAUUAUACGGUCAUCCAUUUUAAUAAAUAAAAAUUAAUAUAAUUUGAUAAAGCAUAAUUAUCUAGUACAAAUAUAUUAAAAUUGGUUAAAAAAUUAUGUUUUUUAUACAAUAAUAUAAAUAAUAACUCAAUUAAAUAAUGUGAAUAGUGUAUUUUCUUAAUAUAAUAGUAUAAAUAAUAAUAAUAAUUUAAAUUAAUUAUAUGAAUAUUUAAUUAUAAUUAUUAUGUGCACUAAAAUUAUUAAAUUGGGUAAUAAAUUUAUUUAUACUAACAAUAUACAAAUAAGCUUUUAUAAUAAUAUCAACAAUGAAAUUAAUUGAAAGCUUGCAAAAAAUUAAAUUAAGUUAUAAUCUAAAAUCAAUUCAAUAUCUGUGUUUUUAUUUAUUUUUAAUGAUCAUUAAAACUAUUCUUGUAUAAUUUGAAUUAAUAUUUUUAAAUUUAUGUGUUUUUUUAUGACAUAGACAAUAUAGAGUUCCAAAUUGACAUCGCAAGAUCCAGCGUGGCACCAUGCUAUUGGCUCAGUACACGUAUAUUCCAAUUUUUUUUUUAUUUUGCGAAAUCAUUUUAUUAACCUUCUUAGUUCUAUAAAAUUCAACGUUCAUCACUCAGCAUUCAUAUUUGUUCAUUUCUGAAUUCAGAUCGAAAGGUAGAAGAAAAGGAGAGAGAAUGGACGCCAUUGAUUCCGUCUUCGAUCCCCUCAGAGAAUUCUCCAAGGACAGUGUCAGACUCGUCAAGCGAUGCCACAAACCCGAUCGUAAAGGUGUAACCCUAACCCUAACAUUUCUCCAUCGUUUUCCUUGAUUCCUAAUUUUUUUUUUGUUUUUCUAAAUAAGAUUGAAUCUAUGUUCUGUGGAUCUUGAUUGAUUGGAUGGUUUGGGUGUUUCAGAAUUCUCUAAGGUUGCUGUGCGUACCGCGAUUGGUUUCGUUGUGAUGGGAUUCGUCGGUUUUUUUGUCAAGCUCAUCUUCAUUCCAAUCAACAACAUCAUCGUCGGAUCUGGUUAGGUAAAUUAUAACUUUCUCAGAUUUGUUUUCAUUUAUAGUUUUACCCUGUUAUUCAUUUGUCCUGCUUGGACCUCUGUCUUUUAUAUUGUUUUUGAAGCUUGGAGACUGAUCUGAUUUUUUUGUUACAAUUUAUUUGGUAAAUUUUGAAUUUUUCAUAUUGGGAUUGCUUGUUUGGUUGAGUUGUUAUUCAGAAGCAUUGUUGACCAUGUUGUGCUGGCGUGGUAUAUUGGAACGAUCUGAUAUGAAGGUUUAAUUGAAUCAGGGAUUUAGGGUAGUUAUUUGUAAAAAUAUUCGGUGCUGCUUAUGGUUACAUUUAUAGUGUAAGGCAUAGAAUGAUGAGUUAAUUGAUCGCAUUAUAUGGUGAACUUUUUACUGCAACUAUUUCUAAAUGAACAGAUAUGGCAAUCUGGUGCAGUGAUUUAUUAAAGAACAUUAAUCUGUUAGUGUGCAUAUUUUCAUGUUUUAAUAUAUGGGGAGUUUCUGCACUGUUACAUGUAUGUGAGAUUAUGCAUGAUUAUUUCUCAGUACCCUGUCUUUGCUACCGGUUUCAUUCGGAGCAUGUAAUUGCUAUCUAUGUUUUAGAUGAGAGUGCUUGGUCUGAACAUUGUUGAGGAUUUUAUUUUCUUCUUGGAAUAUGUAUACUCUUUGAAAACCAGCUUCGGUAGAUUGUCUAGUUUUUAUUAUCGAUUUAAUGCUGUUUUUCUUUAUUUUCUCUGUUUUGAGAUGUUGGCUGUUAGUGAAACUGUGUCUUUAGCUAAGUGUGCAAAAUGGAUGAUAAAUAACCCUUGAUUAUUCCGCAGGAUGAGGGGAAUUUUUCAAUUGCCUCAGGAGUCCAAGUUGUCAAACAUGAAGAGGCAGAAAGAGUUCCCACUUUGUUAGGUCAUCAUGAACUUAAUUGUAGUUUUUUUGUACUCUAUUUUUGGUGUACACUUGUAUCUUAUCUUCGGAAGCUUUACAGUUUUAUUUGAAAUAUACAAUUUUAUUCUUCCGUGUUAGACCCUUGACACAUUGUUUUGAUUCAGGAGGAAAAGGAUGAAAAAAGUAGUUGAGAAACUAUUCUUUUGGUUUUGAUUCUUUGAACUUCGCUUUCUUAGUCUUUUUAGAUAUUUUAGAGCAAAAAAUAAGAAAGUCCACACCCAUUGAUGAGGUGGAACUUGUAUAAAUAAGUUGCCAAGAACAAAAUAAAUUUAAAUUAACUCGAACUGUUUAAAUGUUGAUAGGCAAUAACAGUGGUAAUUAUUCUUCACCUCCUUUUCUUAAGGAUCCAUAUUUUUUGUACUUUGACAUACUGCUGAAAGUUACAACAUAGAACCCAAUUAUAUGUAAAAUAAGUUAAAUACUUGAAAUCAAAAGAAAAAAAUAUAAGAAGGUUACAGAACCAGAAGUUUUCUUCAUAAUCUGUGACAUAUAUUUGUUUGAGUAAAAAUCUGGUGUUGUGUGUAAAGAUUUCCCGUUUUAAAGUCGUGCUGGUGAGGUUCACUUACAGGGAAAUUAAGGGGGUGGGUGGCGGAGAUAACCCAAUGGUGUCAGUGCAGCGUCUGUUACGCUCUCAAAUUCACAUUCAAAAAUGGGUUCCCUUAACCCAUUGAAACAACCCAUCCAUAUCUCCUUUACUCCUCUGGGAGAAAAAAUCAGAAAAAUAACAGCUAUAAGAGGCCAAUAAGUAAAUAAUCGUCUUCGUCUGCUCUCUGCGACAACCAUGUGCUAGUUAUCUGCUAUCUGCUACAACCAUGUGUCACUUAUCUGCUAUCUGCUACAACCUUAUGCCAGUUAUCUGCUAUAACCGUAUGCCUGCUAUCUGCUAUAACCCCAAAAUGCUCCAUGGCUUUUUCAAAAACAAUUCUCAUAGCUUAUAUUCAAUCACACCAGCAUAACCUACCCAAAAUUAUUUUUUGGAGUAAUCAGUAAAUCACAUUUGCGCAUUCACUUAAAAUGGUGUGGUUAAAUGAAGACUGAAUGACUCAAGUGUGUUUGCACUCUGAUAUACCGAAGAACAAAAUAUGAACAGUUGGGUCAUCAUUUAACGAUUCAAUUCAAGUGAAUAUGUGAUGUCGCAAGAGUUUUGAAAUCUUAAUUUCCCACUCUUUAACAGGUAGAAUUUGGGUCUGAUUCAUGUCGAUGGACUUCCACCAUUAGUCUGUACCAUUGGAAAAUUUCACUACUAAGGCUUAAACUAGUGUUAUAUAUUCAGAUGUUAAGAUCAAGUAACUUCCCUUUUCUCUGAAACUUUGUUGAAUUCAAUAAAGAAACAAGGUAUUAUUUGUUUUGUAUACUCAAUUAAUCAUUUUGUAUAAAAUAAAGAAACAAGGUGAAGGACACAGACAUGUCAAGUCCAACAGCACCACCACACUACCAAGAAUCCAAAUGGAAGAGAGCCACAUAGAUAGUAAUGAAAUGCUGUACAUAUUAAGUAAAAAAAAACAAUAAAAACACCUUGUUUCAACCAAAUAUUUUUAUACAUCUUUUUAAUUUUCUCAAGUAAGUAAAGAAUGGAAAUAAUUAACAUGCAAAUAUCACUUUUGGCAUGAAUUAAACUAAAAGGAAAAAGGGAAAGAGAAGUUUCAUAAUGAUAUGAUUCCUGUCAUGAGCAUCCCCUUAAAGCUUCGUACGUAACCAUCACGUUUGGCUUGGUACGAAUGUUUGUAGUGCAUGCCCCAUUACCCAAACCUGAAAUCUGAAACCUGAAACAUAUAACAAAAUCCCCAAUUUUUUUAAUUGGGAAAUUGAAUCACUUUUGACCGUUGACUGAAACGAGUUGGAUGACCAACCCGUUCAAAGCGAGUCAACUCAUCUCAAUUUGAGUCAAUCCAAUGUAACAUCAUCCAAAACCUCCCUAAUGGUCAUGGAUAUCUUCCCACUUGGGACACCAACACCGUCUACCUCACCCACACCGUCUACCUCACCACCGUCUACCUCACCCUCUUCUUCUGCUAUACACCGAAUUCGUUUCUGAGUUUGCCAAACACUACCCAUCAUCACCUUCCUCUUUCUCAACCAAUCCAACCCCUUCAAAACGCACGUCCAAACGGGGACCCUCACUCGUUUCACCACACAAUUUUCCAUUCCCAUAACAACUUCAGCAGCUGAAGGACGUUCAUCUUCAUUCUCUGACACACAACGUGAAGCAUAGCGUAACAAGCGAGUGAUUGUUCCAACCAUGUAACCCGGCAGUGCCACUCUGUCGUCACAAAUCUCUUCCAAAAGUUCUUCACCCAUUAACUGAAUCGCCCAUUCCACAACCGAAGCCGGCGUUUUGCACGCAUCAAUGGCCUUUCUGCCACUUAUGAUCUCCAACAACACAACCCCAAAGCUAAAAAUGUCGUUUUUCGUGCUGAGUCUCUCUGGGGUGGUGUAACAGGGGUCCAAGUACCCUAUUGUCCCGGCGGGUUGACUCACCGAGUCAACCCCUCUCACCGCCAGUCCAAAAUCUCCCAACUUCGCAUUCCAACUUGAAUCAAACAAUAUGUUGGUGGGUUUGAUGUCUCUGUGAAUCACCACAGGCUUAGCUUGGUGAAGAAACUGCACCGCACGAGCGAUUUGCAGGGCGAUUUCAACGCGUUUGGGCCAUGUGGGUGGGGUUUCGUUGGAAUGAAGCAGGUCAUGGAGAGAGGCAUUGGGCAUGAACUCCAUCACAAUGAGUUUGUGGCUGUGAUCAUCAUCACCACUGGUGGUUCCUAGAAGAUUAACCACAUGAGGGUUUUCGGGUAGAGAGGAAAGAACUCGGAUUUCGUUUUGGAGUUUGGAGUUAUCGUGAAGAGAUUGAAGGCCCUGUGAUGGCUUCUUUACAGCGACCACUCUGUAGCUGUUGUUCUCUUUGAACUGAACAACGCCUUUGUACACCAUGCCAUGGCUUCCUUUCCCUACCACCCUUCUGGGGUUGAAGUUUUCUGUUGCUUUCACAACCUCUUCAUACUCAAACUCUUCCAUCGUUUCACUGUUUCUUCUUUCAAUGGUGUUUUCUUACAAGGAGUGGAAUAUCUACGACUAAAUGCAGAGAGGAAAAGAAAGAAAUAUUGAACAUGAGAUUGUUAGAAGACAAAAGUAAUGUUUUAAGAACACGAAAAAGGAUCUUCCCAAUAAGAUAAUUUAUUUUGUUUUUAGUAAGAUGAGGCUUUGAGGAGUUAAAACAACACCUUAAUAAUAUAUAACUGUUAAAGUGUAAGGUAUGGUUUAAUCAAUUUUACACUGUACACUUUUUACAGAGUACUUAUUUUAGUGUUUUAGGUCCAUAAACAAACACAAAUAACAAAAAAAUGAAAAACUGAGAUUUGAAGGAAGGAAUGUAAAAUGUACCUAUACAUCAGCAAUUUCACUUACUAUCAAGACCUGUCUUUGUGUUUGUGUUUCAAUAUGAAUAUGAAGAUGCAUUGAUUAGCUUUUUGUAGAACACAGAGGAAUAAAGGUGCUUUGGAGAGGUAAGAGAUAAUUAAAAUUAUGAUGGGAGAAUUAUUGAGAAAAGGAAAAGUUAAAGAAAAAGCUAAGAGUUUGUGGGAAGAAAAGGUAUCCUCUUUGGCAAAGGGACAGGGCUUAUUGGGUCCCCUUUUUCAAUUCUUUGGCUUCUUUAUUUCAACUUUUUUUAACUUUUUUCUCUCCCACUUUGCACAUUAGCUACCAUGUUAUGUUAUGUACUGUGAUUUCUGUUUUUGUCCACACAGUUACUGUUAUUUAUCAUAGGAAAAAGCAGUCAGAAUCCUUAGCUAAUUAUGUAUCCCAAAGACAUACCUUAACUUUUUAUAUCAAUCACUUAUGUAAAAGGAAAGCAAGGCAUCCAAGGAGAGAUUAGGAAUGUGUAAAGCAAAACAGAUUAUGCCAAACUCGUUUAUUUAAGAGCCAUUUAUCAUUUAUUGUGUCAAAUUAUCUUGUCAUGGAGACAUUAAAACACUUAGAUAACAUUCAGAAUUCACUUCUCCUACCCAAAUUUAUACAAUUUUUCUGAUGGAAGGUACUGAACAGAUGAUUUUAAUUAUCUGAUCUGGCAUAUAUAAGGAGAGGUUUCUGACUAUUUUUGGCAUUUCUGUUGUCUACGGAAGUGAUUUGAAGGGAAUAAUACUUUGACAAUAGGUCACCCAACACAACUUUUAAAUCCAACUUUGCUCUUGUUUUUUUUUUCAAAAAAAAUUCAUAGGAGCUUAGUGUCCCUUUUAACUACUGCAGAGGAGCUGGUGUUGGCGUUAUGGUGGAAGAAAUGUUUCACUCUUAGUUGCUGUGCACAUUGUUUUGAGAUAAUACGAAUACAUGAAUUUGGAAGGCAAUGUGAGUAUCUCCGAAUAUAAAAAUCGUGUAAUUUUAUUUUCAGUUUAAAGUUUCGAAUGCACAUGUUUGAAAGUGAAAUAUGAAUUUCGGAUACCUAUAUCCGGAUGAAUAUCCAUAAUGGUUUUUUGGGUUCCGAAUUGUUAUAUUCGGAAGGUUUAUUGGCUGCUGGGUGUUGGAUGCAUUUAAAUGUAACCUAGUCUCAUUUAAGGGUAUUAUAGUAAUUUUACAUGACCAUGGAUGCCAAUCUGAAAUAAUAUGGUGUAGGAGAAUCAGCCUAGGUCAGUUACAGUGUGCAUGACUUAUUGGGCCUGGUCCAAUUUUUCUUUCUGCAAUUUCAGCAAGGAUAAUUACUUUCUGCACCUAAUCAAAUUUGAACCCGCACCUAAUCAAAUAAAGUGACCCACCACAACUCAUUCCCUCCCAAUUAUAAAUUGGUAAAAAAAGAGAGUAAAAAGGUUUCAUUAGGGUCCAUGUAUCUUUUAAGAGGGUUAUCUUAUCUGUGUUACCUUUAUGUUGUUCAACAUUUAAGGACUUUUUGUCUUAGACUCUGAACAUGUUACACGUUUGAUAAGGACCAUUAUCCUCUUUGUCAGGAAGAAACAAAAACUGUAAUUGGGCUAGCAGACUUUGGCCCAAAUUGAUUUGGGCUACAUUCAUAAUGCAUUGAGAACUUUAAUUAAUUAAUUUGGGUAGAAUCCAUAAUUAUUUACAAUUUUAAGUUUUUGGAAUUUGGUAAUGUAGAAGAAGUAUGUGUGUUGGUGAGAGAAGAUAGGAACAAAAUAAAUGAAUGUGAAUGGUAGAGUAGACUUUCAAUACCUACCAUAUAUCAUACUAACUCAAUUAUUGCAAUACUUAAAUAUACUUACUUCUUCACUCCUUAAAAACACCAUAAAUUAAAUUCACCUUCCAAGGACUUGCUCUUUGAAUUGACUCCAAUUUUAAAAACUAAUACAAUUUAAUUAAGAUAAAAUCGUGUUAAAAUAAACUUUUUUAAUGGUAAAGCACUAAAUUUAUCAAUAACAAUUACUAAAAACAAAAAAAUUAGAUCCAUAAAUUCAAAUAUUUCCACCACCUGACCGUGUGAUAACUAGAAGCUAAAUACCUGGUCAGAGUCAACCAACACAACUGAAUUCCUUAUGUCUAAAUAGAAGAUUAACAAGACUAAUCAGUAGUAAACAUUAGGUAGUGGUAAAACAUUAGGUAAUUUCUUAAUUAUGAUCUAAACCUCUAAUCCGGUCCAAUAAUAAAAGAUUAAUGAUAAUUAUAUAAAUAAGUACAAAUUUUAAAAAUAAGAUACAUCAUCAUUCAAUAUAAUAAUAUCGAGUACCGAAUAUCGAAAUCUUACUUUAAUGUUAGAGUGCUUUUUGUAGAUAACAUUCUAACUUAGUGUUCACGAGAACGAUGAGAAGUAAUGGAGAGUAAGAAAAACUCGAAAAUUUUGAAAAAAAAAAGAAAGAGAGGUAAAACAACCAAUUGAAAACAAAAUAGUAAACAUGAUGGUUUGAAUAUUUAAAAUGAUAAAUGAAUUAAAAUUGUUUAGUUAUUGAAUAUUUUGAUUAGUUAAGAAGAUUAUGCAUGAAUUGUUUGUUCCAUGUAAGUGGGAAUAAUAGAGGAGGAGUGGGGUGGCCCACUUCCACACAUGAUAAUUCGUUUGCUUCAAUUCUAUAAUUCGCGAGUGAUUCACACGCUCUAUAUAUUCGCGUCCCCUGCAUUCCAUUGCUAUUCACGAUCACAUCAAAAUAUAAAAUACAAAUAAAAUAAUUAAAUCAGUAGUACUUUGUACACAUAUCUUUUAUUUUUUUAAGGCGUGUUAUAAUUUUAAAUUAAACAUUAUAUAUGUAUAUGGAAUGGGUACUUCAUUCUCUUCUAAUACGUAUUCUUGCAUUUUUAUACUCUUUACGGCAUCUUUUUAUAAACAAAUAAUUGAUGGAAUACAAUGGCACUAACAUUAGUUUCUUAUUAAAAAAAAGUACUUUUUUAUAAAUGAUAAAAUUUAUCUUUUAUUUGCAAAUUUUAAAUUCAAAAUAGUUGAGAGUAAAUAUGUAUUUUUGUAAUUUUAUUUUAUAAUUAAUAAUUGGUAUGAAAAUAUGUGAAGGUUUCAAAUAGAUAUUAUUUAACUAUUUGGAAACAUUUGUUUGAUUUAAUCGGAAGAAAUGAUAAUAUAUUUGUUCUCGAAAAGGGUUGAAACCAAGAGAACUAUUGAUUAUUUUUCGGUUGGUCUAUCUUUUCACUCCACUUUCUCGUGCUCCUUUCGUUUCUCUACUCCUCGUCAUCGUGAACUCCGAGUUUGGAUGGUACCUAUAAAAGACACUCUUAUGCUUAAGUGAGAUUUUGAUGUUUGGUACUCAGUGUUGUUAGUACUGUGUGAUGACGUACCUGAUUCUUAAAAUUUGUACCUAUUUAUAUUAUUAUCAUGAAUUCUUUGUUAUUGAACCAGAUUACGGAUAUGAGUCGUAAUUAAGAAUGUAUUGUCUAAUGUUUGAUCAUUGAUUAAUCUUAAAAAAAGGGAUGAUUUUGAUUGACUUUGAUUAAAUACUGAACUUUCAUCGGAAGAUGUAAAUUGUUAAUAAAACAUAUUUUGUCUUUAAAAAACAUAAGUGAGACAGGUACAUGGAUUAACCUUAAACUUAAAUUGAAUCCAUGAUGAGAAAAGACAAUUGAAGUAUGAGUAGGUCCUAUGCAAAAGUGUAAGCAGCAAAAUCUGAAAUGGGCCUCACCAAAAUCCCUUUUCAGUAUGAAUGGAUAAAUUUGAAAGACAUAGAAAAAUAUGAAAUAUAGAUGCAUUAACCAAGAACACAGCAAGAACAUCAUAGUAACUAAUAAAGAAAUGGCAAAAACAACAGAGAAAGGUGUGCAAAGCUGACGUUGCACAGAACAUACAUUUAUCCCCUCUAUACCAUGUACAGGGAGAAGACUCAAACUAUGAGAACUGAAAAGUUUCUCAAUUUUUGCAGCUUUUAUUUUAUUUUAUUUGACCCUUUGUUUCCUUGGAUCCAUGCACAUUUUCUUCACUUACUAUCUAACUUUGCCUCCCUAUAACUUUGAAAUUCUUUUACUUUCUAAACAAAUAAAUCGAAUCUAAACUAAAAAGAAUGACAUAGAGAAAAAAAUGCAAGAGAAUAUUUUCCCAACAUUCAAAACUUAGUUCAUAAGCUUUGUUUCAUGAAGUUUGGGAGUUGGAGUGCCAUAAAAUGUAUGAGUUAUUUGAAGAAGUAUUUUGCAGAAACUAUUAAGAAGUAGACUUUAAGUUCAACUUAAUCUCAUAAAAUCGACUCAUAAGAUGAGAUUUACAUCUACUUAUAUAUUAUGAAAUGUCUUAAUCUCUAGUUAGUGUGAGAUCUUCAACACAUCUUUCUCACACGCUGAGACUACCAACUCGUGCAUUACACUAUAUAUUAUGAAUGAUCCGAUAACGAUCUGAUAGCGAGUGACCUGAUAAGUCCAACAAAAAAUUACUAGUAGGAUAGACUCAUACCAUAUUAAAAAGUGAAAUUUAGGUAGAUAUAGGAAUUGUGUAGAAAAGUUGAAACUGGAUGUGUAAAAGUUGGUUUGAUUAGAUAUUCUUGCAUGGCUAUAUUUGGCAAAGAAAAGCUUGGUUAGUGGUAAGAUGAGAUUUAAAAAAGGAAAGGAAGUAGGAACAGAAAGAAAUAAAGAUUGGCACUGAAAUAGCACUGAUAGGACAUGGUAAACUUAUUUUUAGCAGAGGGCACAGAUUUAAAUAACACUAAUUUAAUGAUCCUCAUUCAAAUGCCUCAGAUUUCUCUGACACCAUCAUUUUUAAACCUCACGUAAUAUACAUUCACAUUUCACCACUCUUUUUUCAACUUCUUCCAAUUUCUAUCAGUUCUAUCAUGUGCAACAAAAUUGAACAAUAAUAAUAGAGCUGAAAUGGAGAAGUCUCUGUCAAAGGUGGUGUGAUGUAUGAACAGUAAUUUUUACUGUGAGUGUCCUCAUGCAGCAGGCACUACAGUAAAAUCAACACUGAUUUACCACCAUACCCUUCAACAGUGAAUUACAGAUUUGUUCAUUGUUUAUGUAUUAGUUGUGAUCUCAAUCAUGAUAAUGGCAGAUUUGUUGAAUUUAAUAGAGAUUAAAGGUGUGGUUAGUAGAUUUAAUUAUGUGAUUAUUAUCUGUACAAACUGAAAUACUAUAAUAAACUAAGAGGGUCCAGAUUGGAUUGUAAUUUUCUUUUUGUUUUGUUAAUGCAGUGAUUGGUUUUUGAACAAUUUUCUAAAUUUUGAUGCAGAAUAAUAUAGUGGCUGGAAAUAUAAAAAAGUAAAAGUGACAGAGACAGCAUCAAGUACUUUUUUCUAAGUUUGGUUACCAAAAUUGUGACAGGACAAAAUUGUACAUUUCAUUAAAAUACAACUCAAAGACUUGCACAAUUUUCUCUUAGUUUAUAUCAAUACAGAAAACUUUUCAUCCAAUUGUGAGAAUCAAAAGGGUACAACUUAUUUUAUUUCUCCAGCUGGAAAACAUUAUGGAAAGUUUUGAAAGAAGAAUUAGUCAAAAAAGUGUUGGUGGAAGGUUUUGUUUUCCCUUCUUUUUUACACUUUUUUUUUCUCCAGAUGUAGGAGUUAAUGGAAUAUUUACAUAGAAGGGUUUAGACGUAAACAUGGAAAUUAGGUAUACAUAAUACCAGAAUUAUACAAUGUAUAAGUAUAUGGAAAGUUGAAACAUUUGAAAUGAUUGCAUAACGGUCCUAACACGUGGCAUGUGAAAUCUAUGAAUUUUGAUUUACCCUAUUUAUAAAGGUUCAAACUAAUUGCACCCUACAUUUAUGCUAAUGUUCCAUUAUUAGUUAUCUUUCUUUCUUUUAAAGUUUUAUAUAGAGUUUGUGACCAUGUUAAUGGUUUUCACAUAAGUAUUAUUGAUUUUUUAAACCUGUUAAAUAUUGAACAAUCGAACAAUCGAGAAAGUUGAUAUGCUCGAACCAAAGGACUCUCUUAAUUCAAACACAGUUCGUAAAUCCACAGUUAAGCAUAGUUAAGUCGGUUUAAUUGUAAAUAAUGAUUAAGGUAUGAUGGGUCUCUCUUUUGAACCCACAAGCAGGCCCAUGAAAGCUGAAGCCCAUUCAAAAGGUAUAAAUAUCAAAAGAGACACGGGCGUCAAAGAUAAUUUUUUCUAUCUCGACUCACCUGCACAUUGUACUUGGACUAACUUGAUCGUCCAAGUGUCUUUGCAGGUUUCCUUCACUCAUCUCGAUGAAAAGAAUAAUCAAUCAGAGACCAUCGUGUCUGGAGACUGUGAAGACUAAAAGAAGGAGACUAAAGAAGUCAAUGUAGGAGGAAUCCGACUUGUAUGAAGAGAUAUGAAAAUAAGGUGCAUGAUUUGAUUUGAAUUAUUGGUGGAUUUGAAGGUGAAAUGGUUGUUGUAUGGUUUGAGAUUGUUGAGUGAUGUAUGUAGUAGGCUAAGACAUUUUAGUGAUAAAGGUUCCAGUUUUAGUUAGUGAAUAUGACAUGAGUGGAAGAUGAAGUUUAUUUUAGAUGGGAUUAAAAGAAUAUAAAGGUUGUUUGAGAAGUUGUAGCAUUUUGUGACGUUGAUGAAGGAGGGGCCAUUUCUGUCUUUCUCAAUCAUCCACUCAUCAAAAAAGUGGAGUGCCCAGUCACAUAACAGAUGCUUUUUCUCAUGCUCACCUCUGCCUGUGCUGGAUGGAGUAUUCUCUGUCCUAUUCUCUUCUCUAUUCUCUCCUGUAUUCUACCGUAUUCUGUUGUGUAUAUUGUAUGAUAUUGUACAUACAGACUAUAGCACAUUAACCAUCUCACCCACCCUGAACUCGUAUUUACUCUUUUUUCUAUUGUUUGUUGUGUUGCAAAAGAGUUAUGAACAGUGAAUGUGAUUUUGUGGUGAAUGAAAGGUUUGAAGGAGUGAAGAAACCCCAUUUGUUUUACGAGACCCCACGAGUGGCCUUUGUUUCUUCUCUCUCUCUCUGAGAACACAGCACAGAGCACAGAACACAGAGAGGAAGACAAGAGUCAAUGAAAACCCCACAAACUGAGAGUCUUAGUUGGUCCAAACACUCUUCAGAUUUAAAAACUCUUUCUCUUUCUUUCUCUCUCUGAAAAAGUUGAUCUUUCUGUGUCUAUCUAAAAAGGGAAGAAGAAGAGAGAAUGGAGUUGGAAGAGGAAAACAAAACAUGAUUCAUCAUCUCAUCCCAUUCCAUUCCAUUCCAUUACCAUCAAACAAAAAACAUACAAAAUAAAAAAAUAAACACAACAAGGUAAGACCCUUCCCCACCAAAUGGAACUAUCAGAUUUGCAAAACAACAAGCAGAACACCACCACCAACACCAACAACAGCACCAACACAAAAACAAACACAGUACGAGGUGGUGCUGCUGCUGGUGGUGCUGGUGGUGGUGGUGCCCAUCCCAACCAUCACCACCAACAAUCCUCUUCUUCCCAUCUUCAGCUCCCUUUUGAUGCCAGGACAAACCCUUCAUCCACCUUCCUCUCUUCCUCCACCUCUUCUUCUUCCACCAAUUCUUCCUCCUCUUCCUCCUCCGCCUCCGCCUCUUCCCACAUCAUCGACGCUUCCCUAGCCAUCGCCACCAUAUCUGAUGAUUCCGCCAACAAGACCCAACAGCUCUCCACCGCCGCCGCCGCCGCCUCCCCCGCCGCCAACCCUCCCAAGCGAUCUACCAAGGACAGGCAUACCAAAGUCGACGGCCGCGGCCGCAGAAUUCGAAUGCCCGCCACCUGCGCCGCCAGGGUUUUCCAAUUGACCAGAGAAUUGGGCCACAAGUCCGACGGCGAGACCAUCGAGUGGCUCCUCCAGCAGGCCGAGCCCGCCAUCAUCGCCGCCACCGGAACCGGCACCAUCCCCGCUAAUUUCUCCACGCUCAACGUCUCGUUCCGCAGCAGCGGCUCCACGCUGUCGGCGCCGCCGUCGAAGUCCGCCCCGCACACCUUCCACGGCGCGCUCGCACUCGCUCACCACCCUUACGAGGAGGCCUUUCAACACACCGCUUUGCUUGGCUUCCACGCUCACGCUCACCAGCAGCACCAGCAGCACCAGCUUCUUUCCGCAGAUCAAAUCGCGGAAGCGCUUCCCAGCGGUGGCGGCGACUCCGGCGACGGCUAUCUCAGGAAACGCUACCGCGAAGAUCUGUUCAAAGACGAUAACAUUAACACGCAAUCACAGAACGAGAGCGGCGACGGUUCUUCGCCGAAAACUCCGAACCUACAGCUACCGAAGCAGCAGGCUCAGCAGCAAACCGAAGCUGGUCCUGGGCUUCUCAGGCCCACGAAUUUGCUACCCGCGACAGCGAUGUGGGCCGUGGCACCCGCUCCCGCAAGCGGGCCUCCCGGCAGCACAAUUUGGAUGCUUCCGGUAACCGCGGCUUCUUCUGCUUCUGCAGCAGCUGUAGCUGCCGCUUCAGCUUCUGCUUCUUCUGGUGGUGGUGGAUCCACUGCGAGUUCGGAGACUCCGAUGUGGCCUUUUCCUCAGAGUGGUUUCAUGCCAAGGUUCAAUCUUCCGAGUGCCCUUGAAUUCCAAGGCGCACGUGGGGGUUCUCUGCAACUGGGGUCAAUGUUAAUGCCGCAGCAACCUUCUCAACAUCUGGGUCUCGCCAUGUCCGAUUCCAACUUCGGCAUGUUGGCUGCGCUCAAUGCUUACACCAGACCUGGUUUCAAUAUUAAUUCUGACAAUCAUCAUCACCAUCAUCACCAUCAUCAUCCCUUGGACCAUCAAAAUCAACAUCAACAUCAACAUCAACCUCAACCUAGUGAGAGUGGAGAAGAUGAUCCUAAUAGCUCCCAGUGAACUCUCAAAUUGGUUAGUUGGUUUCGUUUUCAUCUGUAGAUUCUGUGGCUGUAAAUAUGUCAAAAUUUCUAUAUAUAUUGUAUUUUUAAGUUGUAAUUUGAGGAGGAGGAGCUACAGUUUGAUUAUUGGAUUUCUGUUUCCCUUUUCUUUUCUUGCAGAUUGGAAGUUGAGUUGAAUGAAUUUGUGAUAAGUAAUGCUUUUGAAAAAUCCAUGGAUGCAUGCUAGCUCAUGCUCAUCACAGUUGAGUAGAUAAUUAGAUUAUGUUCUCUGAUUAUGCUUUUUUAUUUAUUAUUUACAUUUUUUUGCACUUCUUUGUUUUGUUUUGGAGAUCUUGGUAUGUUUGGUUUUGGUCCAAAGGGACUCAGACACAGAGAGAGUUUGUAUAGGAGGAAAUUUGUCUUGCUGUUUUUGUGUACUUUAUUUGCUUCUUCUCUUUUCUUUCUAUGUAUGACACCAUGAAAUCAAAUUAAAACAAAGGAAUUUAAAGGGAAAGAUUUGCUUGCCUUCCUUCCAUGCUCCUCAUAUAUGUUUUCUUUCUUGUUUCCUUUUAUAAUUCAAAUAUUUUCUACUUAUAAAAUGACAUAUACUUGUCUGGGUGAAGUUAUUAAAUGAAUUCAUUUGAAGACUUUGUGUUCCUCUUACAGCAGGAGAGUGCAUAAAUAAAGUGUGUUUGGCAUUGUAAGAUAAAUUAUUUUUCAGUAAAAUUGUAAAAUAAUUAGAAUGGCAGGAGACACUAAGCAAAGUAGGAUUGUCAGGAAAAAAAGGAGUGUGAGCCCAAAAUAUAUAAAUAGUAAUUCUUGGUAGCUUCAGUGUACAAAUCUCAGUUACAUACUUAUGUGUGCCUUUGAAGAAAAACUUCAGGGGGAUGUCAGAAGAUGGAAGGCAUUAAUUUCCUCCACUCUUCUUCUCACACUAUCAAUUUUUUUCUAAGAAUUUUAAAAUCAAAAUCAUCUGUUUUAUGGUAUGUGAUGUCAGAAAAUGAAAAAAAGAUACUGAUAGAAGAGCUGUGAUAUUGGUUUAUUGUGCAUAGGUUUAGGAAGUGAGAGGUUGGUUUGACAUUGAUGAUGGUAUGAUAUUUAAACAACUGGUUAUGCAAAGAUGAUGAAAAAGGUGGUGGUAAGAGUGUGUGAAAGGAGUGGGAAAAUGGGAAAGUUGAAGAUUGAAUGAAUAAUAGAGAUGGGGAAAGGACAAAAGGAAGAGAAAGAGAAAGAGAAAUGAGGGAUGCAUACAUAAUGAACAAAGCAGGACGGCAAGGAAAAUGACUUUGGUGUUGACUUUAACAGUCAAUUUCAGAUUACUAGCCUCUGUUCAUUGCUCAAUCAUUCUCUCUUUCUUAUUUUUCCAUUUUCAUCACCUCACACUUUUAACCAUUCACCCUUAUUUCCUAUGCACACAACACUCAUUCUUUGGAUCCCACUUUCUUAUUUCUAUACUUCCAUUCCAAUUUUCAUACUAUUUUCAAUCUCACAACCUAUUUUCCAGGGAGAGAGAGAGAUCAUUGAUUACUCUAACUUUAAAAGGAAGUUGUGGACACUCAAUAAUGUUAGUUUUGGAAUUGUAUAACAUUCAAAACUUGGAAAUGGGUAAGUUAUAAAGAUGUAUGCUAUGGUGGUCUAUAAUGAAACCAGAUCUCCCAUUCAUCUAUGAUUCAGCUAUGAUGCUACCUCCAUCUAUGUUGUUUUAGGACACCCCAAAUAAAAUGAAUGCUGGUAUAUAUAUAUAUAUAUAUGCAUCAAUAAACUAAAAGAAAAGUGAUACAUAGAUGAAUCAUAAGAUGUUUUAGUCAUUUCCUAACAUGUGGAUAUGGCAUAUUAUGAUUGUGAUUCAGGAGGGAAACACACCAUAGGAUACCCCUAUCUUUCUACUUUCUUAGCAGACAAAACUAAACUUUCACUCACUUUACAGUAAAAUUUACCUUUUUUUAUCAAAAUAAGAUUAAAAAAGUUGGUGGGUUGUUAUCUUUCUCACCUUGGCAUGAAUCCAGCUUUCAAAAGCUAUGAAAUUGGGUAUAAUAUAUUAUAGUGGGGUAGUGCUAAAUAGAAGGGUUUUAGUAGGACUAUUAUUGAUAAUGAAAAAGCACAAGUUUUGACCUUAGGAUUAAACAAAUAUUUAGCCUUUAAUUAUUUGGAUAUUGGAAGAUGUGUUUUGGGGUUUUUCACUUUAUGUGUUUAAGGAAAGGACAUGAGGAAUGAUGAGAGAGAGAGAGAGAGAAAGGAUUGAUUGAAGAAAUGGACGGCCAGGAUGGACUGUAGUGACACGUGUACAGUGCAGAUCCGUCCAUCCAUCCAUCAAGUUGUAUUAAGUAUCUGGUAGGGACCACCUCACCGAAUCAUAAUAAUAAUAAUGCAAUGAAAAUAAAGUGCCACGCGCUUCACGUGCUCCAAUCAUAUGGCUCCCAAGUGCGGGUUUGGUUUGGAGCAAAGCAAGUGUGAUUUCUCAACAGUGGCGCGCGUGGUCGUGAAACUCAUGGGACAAUGAUUCUCUUCUAGCACUCUUCCACUGCUUUUAUGUUUUUUCUGCUGAACACUUUCCCACAGCAUAACAUGUCGAAUAAAAUAAUACAAAUUAUAUAAAAAAAAAUUAAUAUAAAAAUCAAAUAUGUCAGUAACAAUUUUUUAUUUAAUGAAAUUUAUUGAAAUACAAAUUCUUGUUAAUAAUUUAAUAAAUGUGGAAAGGUUAUUACAGAGUUUGUCCUUAACACUUAUUUCUCUGAGAGAGUGAGGGCUAAAUAAAUUUAUUGUAAAAAAUGCAUUAGAUAUAAUAUAUUAAUUAUAAAAUAUAAUCCAUAAACGUAAGUACAAGUAAUAAGUCUGUUUUUAUUUUUAAAUAUUUUAAAAACAAAAGAAAGUAAAUAAUUAAUUAUUUCAACUACGCUGUUUUUUGACGUUGAAUUGUGUUGUCCCUAACUUUUAACAAAUUCUCUCAAUCAAUAAAAGAAAAUAUUAAAAAAUUAACAUAUUUAAUUUUUUAUUUUCUAAGUAUACAUAAUAAUUAUUAAAAAUUAUGUUUUAUUUUAAGUUAUUUAAAAAAAAAAACUCUACAUGCACUAUCCUAUGCAACAUUUUAAUUAUUAUUUACUUGAAAAAUUUAUUUUCUGUGAAGUCAAGCACUCUUCCAAUCUUAAAAUAAACAAAUUAUUUUUAAUAAAUAAAAUUGAUUUUUUUAUAUUUUAAUCAAGUGACAUACACUUAUUUUAUUUUAUUUAAAAGUGUAAUAUUCACAAAACUUAAUGAAAGAAAUGAAAAAAUUUAGAAAAAUUAAAGUAGGAUACAAUUUGUUUUUCUAUAACGAAUAUGUUUUUAAUUUAUUGAGUAAAACACUAACCAUAUUGAGUUUUCACAUAUGCUAAAAAUUGAAUACAAAAUCUCAAUUUCAAACAGGAGAACAAAUUUUCUAUAAAUUAAAUCAAUCAAUUUUUUUGUUCGUGAAUAAGUCUUUAAGUUUUAUAUUCAAAAUUUUAAUAUUAAUUUGGCCAUUUACUAAAAACAGAAGAAGAUAAACGUCAUCAAUUAAAAACAUAAAAAUGAUAAAUGUUGAUUUAAAAACAGGAGAAUGUAGAGGGUUAUUCUGAUAAAAAAAAAUAUGUAUGUAUGUUAAAAACAAUGGAGAAGCUAAAUAUAUAUAUAUAUAUAUAUAUAUAUAUAUAUAUAUAUGUGUGUGUGUGUAUAUAUGUAUGUGUAUAUAUAUGUAUGUUAUAUGUAUGUGUAUAUAUAUGUAUGUUAUAUGUAUGUGUAUAUAUACUGCUUGAAGAAAAAGAACUGAAACCCUGGCAUUAGAUGAAGGAGAAUUUGAAAGAGUAGCAUCCCAUCAGUGCUUCAAAGAUAUAUGCACACUUCAAAUUUGAAUGACCAUGUCACUUUAAAUACAGCAUGAUUUGUAUGAAAUGUUUAGGAAGGAGUAGAAUCCUACAAUAUACAGUAAUUUUCUGUGUAAUGUGGUCCACUUUGCUGAUUUUUAUCUGCCAGUGGUUAGUGACUUAACUCUCUGCGUCUGAAUUCUCAAGUCACGUGUGCAACCUAUCGCAUCAGUUACAUAAUAUUUGUCCUGCAGCAAUAAACAGCACACAGAUAUAGCAAACCAAACAAAUUGAUCAACUUUUAGCAGAAGUGAAAGUGGAAGGUGGUGAGGAGUUGCUCAUAUGCUGAAUAACUAUUUGCACAGUAAAGUAUAAAAUGAAUACAGGCUUUGAUGACAAAACCAGUUUGUGUUCUCACUUGUCCUCACCAAUGCCAGAAUAACUGACCAUGACAACCUUAUUGUUCUUUUCUGUCUUGCACCUGGUCCCCUUUUUCCAGGGGUAAAAGAGAUAACAUCCACAACCUGCGCAUAUACCAUUAUACCAAUCAGCUUGGCUUAAAUGACAAUACAUUAUGCAGGUUCACCAGGCAUUAACUCGUUACCAGAAGUUUUGGUUGAUCAAAUAGUGAUUCAUUGAUUUCAUAAUGUCCCUCAUACUAAUAAAAAAAAAGACACUCUGGAUAAAGGAUAAAGUACCAGAAAUAAGUUGAGCAUCAGAAAACAUUAGUCAUCACAAUCCCAAUACCCUUAACAGUGUCUUAAGUCCUAACUUCACCACAGAAAGAGAUAACAGACGUACACAAAUUUUUACUCCCCAAGUUUAGUGCUUUUAUAUGACAAAUGAGAUCAACUGGUUAUGAAACUUGAUCAUCCGCUAGAAUAACACAGAACCAUUUAGAACCAUAACAAUAUAACCUUCAAGGUUAUCAAACUCUAGGGUUAACUCGUAAACCCUUACGAGUUUAAGGGUCAGCGGAGGGUUGACGAGUCGACUCGGAAGUAAACUCGUUUUUUAGUAAACUCGGAGUUGACUCGGUCAAACUCGGUCAAACUCGCGAGUUUAAGGCCGAGUCACCGAGUUGCGAAAAAAUGGCCCAAAACAGUGUGUUCCAUUGUGAUUAGGGUUUCUUUCACGCUCACGGUGCCAUCUUCCUCACUGCCGUCAAGCCUCCUCGUUGCAGCGCACUGUGCCGCUCGUCGCACCUCGCCGCGAAUCGUCGUCGUACCUCGCCGCACAUCGUCGUCGCACCUCCUGCUGCUCUUCGCAACUCGCCGCGCAUGUACAUGUUGUUGCUGCGGUGGAUUUUUAGGGUUGGGACAGAUUGGGUUUGGGUUUAGGGUUAGGGUUGUUUAAAUUAGGUUUGGACUUUUUAAAUUGGGCUGGGUUUUUCAAUUUGGCUUGGGGCAGAUUGGAUUUUUUUAAAACAUUUAAUGGAGGCAUUAGAUGAAUGAGACUUUUAACCUCGAUAACAUUUGUAUUGCUUUAGUUUUUGUUGGUGUAUGAACUUAUUUAUUUCAAUAUUAUGGAAAUUGUAUCAUGAAUUAUUUUUUUGUUAAAUUUUUUAUGUAAAGUAGACUCUUACGAGUCUACGAGUCGGGUUUACGAGUCGAGUUUACUGGACUCCCACGAGUCUAAGUAGACUCUCGAGUCUGAUAACCUUGAUAACCUUAGACAAUUCCUUAGAUAAAUAAUAACCACAAUUUUAAUAGAGUUCCAAACAAUUCGACUAGCACCAUUUUCCAUCUAUAGCACACUGAAGAUUUCUAUCAAAAAAUAAUAUAUACUUUUAACAUAUAUUUUCAACUGAAAAAUCCAUGUAUUUAGAGGCAGCAACAAAGAAGAGGGGAAGGAAAUGUAUGGUUACUAACAAGAAUUUGGCAACCUCAAAUUGGUCAAAUUAACACAGAAAAAUGCAAUUUUCAUCAUCAUUGAAACAACUAGCACUUACCAGAGCAAGUAGUGCCCUUAAUUAUCAUAUAAAAUCAUUAGGCAAUGUUCACCUUUUGGGUCUACUUGCCUAGUAGCUAAGUUUAGUAAUGCAAUGUCUAGAACAAAGGGAUAAGCAUUGAAGAACUUACGACACUUUGUCUGCAACAUAAAAUAUUGGAAGUCUUUCCACUCCAGCAGCUCUCCACUUGUGUUUUUCGAAGGAUAUUUCUUGCUCAGACUCUGACCCAGUUGCAGUUAGAACAAACUGAAAUAUACAAUGUAUGUUUCUAGUUCACUAUAUAGUUUAUUCAUGAUAUAGUUAACAUGAUAUUUUAGUUUUGAAUAUCAAAAGGAAAUGCAAAAUGCAUAAAAAAGUGCAGGAUAAAGAACGAACUAGAAGGGAAAUAAACAACAUAAUUACCAUACCAGUGGGAAAAGUAUAGCCAUAAUCCCAUAACUAACUAGGGGAGAGAAAAAGAAUAUGGCCAAAACACAUGGGCUCCCUGCAGGGACAUAAAUUACAUAUUAACUCAAACAUCAUACGAAUCAUAAGAUAAAGUACUGGACCAUAUAUAAUACAAAAAAAUUGUUCCAAUGUAGUUCAUCAUUCUUCAAGAUGAUAGAAUUAAGAAUGAAUUUUAAACUUCAACAGCUAAGGAGACAAUUUCAAUAUGAAUUAUAUGGAUUGUGCUUACUAACUUCCCACACCACAUUGUUGAAAUUCUCCAAACCUCAUCCAUACUCCCUUAGUCAUCAUCCUUCCACCAACAACCAAUAACUUUGUCACUUACACGUGUUACAGAAACUGAUUAUGAUUUAUCUUUUACUAGAAAACACAAAAAAGGAACUGUUCUUCCUCCUAAGCUUAGUAUUAUAAGCUGUUUUUUAUCCCAUAAAAUCAAUCAAAGGAAAUCCUCAUGAUCUAACAUAUGAAAUUCUCUAGCUAAGAUGAUUUGUUAAAUUCUCACAAUUACUGCCAGUUGACUUCAAGUAUACUAACCAAAACCAGCAAAAAAUGGCCAGUAAGACUCAAAGUAGUCCAGCCUUCUGUCGAGAGCCACUUCAUUGAAGUUCCAUUUGUACCUAUUAAAAAAACAUAUUUAAUGAGCCGUGAUUGAAAGAGGUCAAUUAAUAAAGACAUCAAGUAAUAGAUGAAAUUAUGGACCACAUACUCGAAGCAGUAAUAUGCAUACAUCCAGGAAAGGAGUAAAAAAUUAAUCAGCUUGCCUAUGUAUGGUACAAAACCUGUUGCAUAGACCUGCAUUUAACAUCAAAAAUAGCAUAUAUAAGGAUAACACCAAGGACAAUCGAUUUUACUGCAUAUCAAGGCAUGUAUAUAUAUAUAUAUAUAUAUAUAUUAUCCUAUACUCAAGGAAACUGAAAUUGUAAUGAUUUUAAUACCUCAAGAAAAAAAACACUCAAAAGGAGUAUCGAGUACACCUGCUGUCCUAUUCCAAUCAUGACCCUGAAUUAAGUAAACACAGUAGCUGACCUUUACACCAUUUACCCCGAAAAGAACAGAUAUCAAAUAGAAAAUAAGAAAAAACAUUGCUCUAUGAAGUAACUAUUAAUUAGAACUUUACCCUCCCAGACCAGAGGGUCCUUUUACAUUUUGUACAGUUGGUGAGUUGUUUUGGCUUGAGCCUUUCUCUACAGUAAGCUUAGAUCUUCCCAUUGCAGCAUACCCAUACUUGGCAAUGUCAUUGUACCUAAAAACAUUCUAUUAGCAAUUCAGAUAGGAAUAAAUCCCAUCUAUCUUAGGGAGACUGGUAUAUUCAGCACAGCAAGAAACAGGAAAAAACAAAUAUAAAAACAAGAGCAAGAGCUUCCAACUGUGGGGAAACCUCCUAGCCUUGCAAAUUUUUCCUCUAGACAUCCAACCUAAUGGAUUUCCACUCUAGUUUGAUAGACAAUGACUUGCAAAGGAGUAAACAUGAAGAAGGAUGACAAACCACACGAAAUGAGUAAUGUUUGAUUCACAUGCCGGGCCAUGUCGGGCACACGGAAAUGCCAUCUCAGAAAUAUGUGCAUCUUAGGUUCCUGAUGCUACUCGUCAAGGAACUUAAUUUGUCCAAAUGAUCAUUCAACCAAACUAUUAGUUCCUUCAAUUUCAAGCCACAAUUUUGCAACAAUGUCUAUUGAUUGGAGAGUGGAUUUAAUAGCCACCACAUAAGCCUCAAUCAAGUCAAUGGCAUCAAUUCUAUGGAUAGCCAUGCAAGUGAUUUACAUCUUACCACAAACCUCUAGAUGAAAGCACCUAGUAAUGAAGAAACCUCCAAUUGAAGCUUCGGGUAGAAAACUCUAAAACAACCUCAUCCCUUCUACAUGAUCACUCUUCCAUAUAAGAACUUCAUAAACUAUAAUUUCCGACAAGAAUUCCAUCCCAGCACUGAUUUUGGAUAAGCAAUUUAUAAUAUUUAUUUGGGAGGAUUGUAUAUAUGGAUAUAGGAUGGGAUUGAAAGGCUAUAAUAUUUCUACUUUUUGGUGUUGUUUUCGUCUUUGGAGAAUAUCUACUCCCUCUAAAAGCACUUUGUUUAUUUUACCUGGUUGAUGAAAAUUCCAUCACAUAUACAAAUAUGAAAAAACUUGACCACGAACACAAACAACAAAGGGCAACCCAACAUAUAGAACAUGAAAAUAAAGACGCAAGACAGAUGAUUACAAAGAAAACAUUACCAAAUUGUGCUAAGAACUAUGCUGAACACGUAUAAUGGGUAAAACCAGAGAACCUGCAGGGAACAAAAAGAAGGACAAUCUCAACAGAUUAAAUGGAAAAACAAUUCAAUUGCACAGUUUUUUCUUGUGCAAACUAGAUACAUAAAAAUAUCUAAAAUGCAUUGCAUCAAAAGCAAAUGAAAAAAUCCUAUCAUGAAUUAUGCAACUAGCAUUUCAAACAUUGACUUUUGAAAUUUCAUAUUUCCAUUAGACCUUCCACGCUUUUCUCAUCAAUAGAUUCUGCAAAUGUUAGUUUGGCAAUUAUGUAAACAUUCAAGGCAAGGCUUGUCAAAGUUGCAUUAGUUCAGGAUAAUCAGUAGAUCUUUCAAAUAAUAUAAAUACUGAAAACUGAAAAUUCAUGCGUGUUAUAAUGGAAAACAAAAUCAACUUGGAAAGAAACACAACAAAGUACUUUGUAUGGUAAAAUGUGCACUUUAAAAAGAGUAUAUUUCAUACUUACAUAACAGAGCUGAAUGAGUGCAAGACGUAAGAAAGAAUAAAAUUUCAAAGUGCCACCUAAGUCACACAGUUCAUGAGAAACAAACUGUGAGCAUUGACCAGGUAAUAUCCACCACAAUGCAGGGAUCACAACCGACUUUAGGGCGAAUAUACUGCACAAAAAUGUAAAGAUUUUCAAAUUAUUAUACAAGUAGAAUUUAGAUUCGUAACUUGUGCAGGACAAUCCAUAGAUGACAAAAAGAUGCAGGUAUCAAUCCAUAAAUGUCAAUCAGAUUUAUUCCACUCAUUAUAUCAAAAGUAUACAUAAUCCAAUUCUUUGCAGCAAAUUCUUAUUCAAUGUGUUAAAAUAAAUUGAAGCUAGUUCAAUUAUUUCAAAGAGCAAAGCAGUUUUAAGAGACAAACAGAUCUCCUUUUGCAGACCUUAGCCCCUCCAAAACCCACUCAGCCGAGCACAAACAGCUAGCUUACCAACAACUCAAAUUGAGACGUAUAUUCCAGGGAAUUGGAGAAAAAGAUUGAUUUUGUUGAAAGGCUGAUAUCAAAAGGAUUGUCAAUCAAAUAUUUCAGUUCCCAAAAUUCGGUGUGCCCAAUUAAUGCCUAUUUGAAAAUAUCAUAAACAACAUAUGAACAGACAGAGUGGAAUGAUAAACUCUAACUAUGUAAUCCUCAAAGCCUGAAAGCACCAUGAACUCUACGGUUGAGAAGUGAAUGAAAAACAGAUAUUUUUAAUUUUUCACACUGAAUAAUAUAUUUUUGUGAAAACUGCUGAAGACUCAAUCAAGAGGAGCAAAAUGGUACUCACACAACACCAGUAUAUAAAUGUUUGACAACCAUUUUCCAUAACAAAGGAGACUAAAAACUUAAAAUUGAAGUAAAUUGUUGAGUCCAACCCUCAAAACUCUC